CAUCACUUGGAAACAUGAGGUGGCUCCUGGGCAGCAGCUGGAGUAAAUUUGGGCAUGCUGGAAGGGGCACUUAUGACUGGAUGACAAGUGAGCCUGGAAUACCACUUGUAGACACAGAACUGCAGGUAGGUCCAUAUUAUGUUAUUAGUAGUAAGUAUAGUUAUCUUUAUUUAAGUGUUUUAAUAAUUUAUUUAAAUUAUUUUAGAAAAUGGGAACAGUAGGUUGUAUCGGUACCUGUGACUGCAUAAGAAUCUCAUUUACGUACACAAAUAAAUAAUAAUCAAUAGUAUAAAUAACUUCCAUAUCGAGGAUAUUUCUAGUAUGCAAACUGUGGGACUGGAUGUGAAUGAUUUUCUAAAAUAUUUCAAAACAUUAUUUUUCUUUUAAUUGUGUCAUUUCUAUUACCCAUUUCAUGCUGAUUUUAUUUUUCCUAUAUAUUUUCUGAGCUGGUGAAUACCAAUAGUCUUGCAUGAUAAAUCCAUCUAUUGCAGAUAGUCCUUCACUGCUUUUAUUUUUUUUGAAGGAUGAUCCAUUGGUCAUGCAUGUGGAUCAAUUUAUUAUGUGAUAUAGUUGUUAAAAGUUAAUAUUAUUGAGUCAGUUUGUUGUAUUCUUUUUCUGAUUUCUUUUUAAAUAAAUAUGAUAAUAAUAGUUUUAUGUAUCAUGCACUACUAGAACACAACACUAUUACUAAACACGAGUUUUCCUAAGGGUAAUCGGUCAAAUAUUUCCUAAAGAAAAGAACAGAUGAAAAAAAUACUAAUGAGUACUAUAUAAAUUUAACACCCGGAACUUGGUGUUACAACUUUUUCCUUAUUUUUUUUUUUUUCAUGUGCAUAUUGCAAAAUCUAAUCUUGCAAUUAUAUAUUUAUUGAAAUUAAAAUAAUAUGUGCCUUACUAUAGAAAUAUGUGGAUUUCAGAAACAAAUAUAUUAGCCACGCAGUUAUGAACAAUCUACUAGACUUAUUCAAACUGGAAUUUUGUACUGCAGUUUAUUAGUUCUAAGGUUCCAGUGAAUCUACCCAGCCUGUUAAAAGGGAACAUUUCUAACCAGCGGCUGGCUGUGAAUCAUAGGAUCGUAGUUGUAGAACAGCUGGAAGUAGCUUUUGGGAAGCCCUCGUCUUGCUGAUAUUUAAUUACAAUCUGUUCAGUCUGGUACAGGGUAAAAGCUUUAGUGUAUAGGCUGUAGAUAUGCAGAAAGAUUGAAACACUGGAUAAGUAGUGGUAUAUUGUCUUAUACGCAGCUGUCCAUGCCAUUAAUAUGGCUGAGAUAGGGUAGGUGACCAUAUUUGGAGUGCAUGGUAUUCUGUAUAUACCAAAGUUAUCAUCUAUCCAAAAUGUAAUGAUUUUGUGCAGUCUCUCUCACUCUAUUUUUUAUUUUUAUAUAUAUAUAUAUCUAUAUAUAUAUAUAGAUAUAUAUAUAUAUACAUACUGGAACUGAAGUAUCACAACUGGUUAGUUUAUUCUACAAUGAGUUAUAUCUAGCUGACCACAGACUUGGAUACUAUAGUCCAAAAUUCUAAAACUUUUCCAGUGCGGCCAUUUUAGAAUUUGUUUUUAAGUUAUUUUUUAACUCACUAUGACUCACUGUUUAGUGAUUUAAUUCCAACGUAUCUAAUAUCCUUGUGAAACCUAGUGUUAGCAGUGGAAGUUGAGGAAACAUAUGAUGGGCAGUAAAUAAGUAAAAAAAACAAAUUCUAAUUAGUGGGGUAAUAGCAAGGAGACAUCUGACUGCUAUUUUGGGGUCAAGAAGGAAUUUUUCCUAGUUUGUUGCAAAAUUAGAAGCGCUUCAAACUAGGUUUUUUGCCUUCUUUUGGAUCAACAGCAAAAACAUAUGUGAGGAAGGCUGAACUUGAUGGACGCAAGUCUCUUUUCAACUAUGUAAGUAAAUAAUAGUGAAUAAGUACAGUCAUAGAGUAAGGCUAGAGUGAAUGAUGGUGGUGCAGGUAUUAAACUAAUUGGGUAUUAAAGUGCAACAUGUAACUAAUUAUCAACACCAGGAAAAGAAAAACAUUAGAGAUAUCAGGGUAAAAAAAAAACCUUUGAAUUUUAAUAAUACAGAAAAAUUUUUGAACAGGGCUCAAGUCCUAAAAAAAAAAGUAUGCAAAAUUCUCAGGCUCUCCUUCCUUCAGUAAUUCAUCAAAUCCCUCUUUUAACCAUGCACCACCACAUUUAAAAUGAUGUUAAAGUGUUUUACCUCCUGAAAAUGACCCUUUAGUUCUCCUGAAUGUUGAAAUUAUAGACUUGGCCAGUCCUUGCAAACUGUCUCUUUACACUUUUGCUACAACAGGUGUAAUUAUAGUGCACACAAUGGAAUAUAUACAUGCAACCAUAAAUAAAAAACAUUUUUAUAGAUGAGAAUUUGGUAAUACUGCAGAGACAUCAAAGCAAUAUUAUAAAAAAGUAAACAUAGUAAAGUCAAUAAAAAAAUCUGAAUAAUUGUCUAUUAAACAUAAUUGAUUCUGUUCUAGAAAAUAAAGCAAUACUUAAUACCAAAAUAUUACCAAUGAUAAAUUAUUAAUAACAUUGAACGUACACAGAACAAUUACAUUUUAAACAUACCUAGAUCACUCGUGAUCGUACUGCUUGUUAUUGUCUAACUAAGCUCAGCCCUGGCAGUGCGUCAAUCUGUAAAACAUGUAAAAUGGUAAACAUGGUAUUAUAUAAAGAGUAUUUUGAAUGUAAAAGAUGCAUUUGAAAAAAAUAAUGCAGUGCAUUAGUUUUACUUGCUUCUCUACAAUAUGAAAAUGUCCCGUAUUCUGUAUGAAUGCACCUGUACUGUAUGCGGUUUUCCUCUCUUCAGAGGAAAAUGUGUGGAAACUGAGUUGCUUCUGAAAAUAAAAUAAUGGGCCUGAGGUCCUAUACUUCCCCGCUGUACUAAUGUCAUGGUUUUAAGUUCAAAGCAGGCAAACAACAGAAAUCACUUGGUAUCCACUGGUCGCAGUACUGUCAUAAAUUGUACUGACAGGUAGUGUAGGGUUCAUCUCUGAAUAUUGGGAUCAAGGCAAGCAUGAAGUCUGAAAAGAGGAGAAUGUUGGUAGGAUUUUGUACAUAAUGACAAUAAGUCACAUGCGGUAUCGAUUUUUGCUACAUAAAAAACUCUCUAUACUGCAUACUACCUGGAGCAUCCAGUGUUCUUUUUCCCAGCCCUUCAUUCCCACCAAUGGCUGUAUGUUACCCACAUGCUUAGGCAUGCGCAGCCUAUUGCAUUAGGGUGUGCACCCUAAAGCACAAACACACAUGCCGCGUGUAUAUGUAUGUCUGUGUAUAUAUAUUCCUAUAUAUAUACACAGACAUACAUACACUGCUGUGCGUGUGAGGGUGCUCUUAGUGUGCGUGUGUGUGUGUGAGAGAGUGCUGGUCGUGUGCUGUGAGGGUGCGGUGUGUGUGAGGGUGCUGUGUGUGUGAGGGUGCUGUGUGUGUUUGAUAGUGCUGGUAGUGUGUUGUGAGGGUGCUGUGUGUGUGUGUUUAAGGGUGCUGUGUGUGUGUGAGGGUGCUGUUAGUGUGAUGUGAGGGUGCUGUUAGUGUGCUGUGUGUGUGUGAGGGUGCUGUUACUGUGCUGUGUGAAAGGGUGCUGUUAAUGUGCUGUGUGUGAGGGUGUUGUGUGUGUGUAUUUGUUUGGAGUUAUUGUGUAUGGGGGGGGGCAGAUUAUCUUUUACCUGGGAGGGGGGAUCCUUGCUGCCAUCCCUGGUGGUCCUAGUGGUGAGUGAACGCUAGCAUGCAGGGCUCUCUCGCGAGAUCUUCCCACUGGCCCAUGGAGACACACAGCAGGGCCAGCACUCAGAUAGCGCCGGCUCUGCAUGGAGUCAUAGGGGAGAUCCUGUGAUCUCCCCUGCCAGCCUCGAUCCAUACGCGGGCCGCGGGGAUUAGGGUGUGCCCAGGCACACCCCAUGCGCACGUCUAUGCCCACAUGUAACAUUUGGCCUCAGGUCCAAAACAUCAAUAAUGUAAUACCCAUUCAAUGUGUUAUUUCUUCCCUAAAAUUUAGUCACUCCUUCUGUCUGAUCUUUGCCUCUUCUCUUCAGAUUAAUUCAUCACCCUCUUCUUUUUUCUACAUUCCACCUUGCAUCCUCCUCAUCGCAUUUAACCUAUACAUUCUACAUACAUUAUACUGUAUCUAUCUCCCUAAUCAUUACAGUCAUACAGAGACAUAAAGAUGCAAGCAUAUAGUGACAUACAUAACAAGACAUACAGAAACAUACAGGCAUGCAGAGACAUACAUACACAAGCAUGCAAAGACAAACGGACACAGUCAUACAGAGACAUACAGAACAAGUCAUGCAGAGACAUACACAGGGGUACAAAGCAGGGGUGGAUCCUGAUCUCAGGAGGGGCCCUGGUAGUGGGUUGUAGUGGGGUGAUAGGGGCUGUAAUUGAGGAGUUAGGGGCUCUAGUAGAGGACUACAGACUGAAGUAGGGGGGCAGGGGUUGUAGUUGAGGGUUAGUGGUGGGUAUGGGUUGUAAUUAGGGUGGUUAGGAAAUGUUUUGGGGGUCUCUAGUAGGGGGGUUAGGGGCUUAAGUAGGUUGAUGGCUGCAAUUAGGGGAGCCACGUUAUGGACACGCCGGCCCUGAGUGUUAGAACAGGAACAGGUUUUUAUCAUCCCCAUUUGUUUCUGCUCCUUCCUGUUCUAACAUCUUUACAAUGUCCUAGUACCAUAGCAUUUAUUGCACUUGACCCUCUGGCAUGGGCUUUAGCAAUAAAAACUAGAAGUUUUCACAUGCUCUAGAUAUCAGACUGAAUAAUCAAAGAAACACACUGGGCAUCAGCAAACCUUAAAGGAACACAGACAUCUAUUCCUGACCCUACAGUGUGAAAAACACAAUCUAGCCCCUCUUUCCCCCCUUAAAUAUAGGGGGUGGAGACACUGAAUAUCAGUGUUGCUGCCCCAGGAAGCACCUUUAGAAGCCAUAUGAGGAGUGGCCAGUGAAGGUAUCCAUAGGCUAUAAUGAAAACACUGCCUUUUCUCUGAAAAUACAGUGUUUACUGCAAAAAGCCUGAAGGGAAUGAUCAUACUCAACAGAACAAAUACAAUAAGCUGUAGUUGUUCAGGUGACUAUAGUGUCCGUGUGACUCUCCGCUGUCAAAAUACAAAAAUAAACAAAUGUUAUUUAGUAGAUAUACCCCUAAGAAAAACAUGCAUGCAUUUAGUUAUGCAUGCAUAAAGAUUAAAUGUCUGGAGUAUCCUUUUAUGAGCAUUAUAUUGGUUUUCCUUUUAAACCUCAUAUUCACACUGUGCCUUUCUAUACACAUUCAAACACAAAAAAAUAUUUCGUUUUGCUAACUACCCCAUUAGAGGAGGUCUUAACCUUGCAAUGAAAACAUUGCAGUUUCUCUAAACUUGCAACGUUUUCAGGUACAGGCUUACAGGAACAGUGUAGCUCAACCAAUGAUAUAUCAGUGUGAGCUGAGCGAUUUCCUUGACUCCAUCCAUAAACAUCCUUUUAUUGACAGUAUAGUAUUUCAAAGCCAUGAAAAAACUCAAAAAUAACUUAAUCUCAGUGAUGUUGUUUUGGGGGCUAAUUGCAUUUUGGUGUAUCGCACUAAUGCUUUUCUUCUCUGCUCAGUAUAGUGGCUGCAGUAUAGUGGCUAUAGUGGAAAUGAAUUAGGAUGGGGCCUGGGGAGCAACUUAGGUUAAGGUAAAAUUGAACUGUGGUACCCAGCACUUUAACUUGGACAUUCAAAUUAUGCCAUUUUACGUGUUUUUUUUUAUGAAUGCAUUUUGAUGAAACUUAAUAGUUUAGUAGCCUUAGAUAGUACAUAUAGAUAUAAAUAGUUUUUAGGAAUAUUUUAGUAUUGUUAUCUGCAUUUUGUUAUGCUGGGCCAAACAAAUUAUUACUCUUGUACAAUAAGGGAGCAAAAUGAUGUUAGUAAGCAUUAGGAAUACGUGUUUGUAUUCCCAAAGCUGUAUUGUUCCUUUAAAUGCUAACUAACAGAAUGAACAGAUUUAAAAGGUUUGCUUUGAUGGCGGUAAGCAUGGUUCUGCAAGCAACGCUUAUUUGAAGUCUCUUAAAAGUUUAUUAUGCAUAUUUUAUGUACUGUAAUUGAAAUAGGAGCAUACACAUUGCCAAAAGCCAUUAAAACUGAAAUGUCUGCCUUCAAAAUUUCAAAAUUUAUCUUUUAACUUUAAAAUACAUGAAAUUUCGAAGUGCAUUUACAAAAAUAUCCACAUAAGGCAGGAAUUUGCACUUUUACAGAAUGAAAUAGAGGAUGUACUCUUCAUACAUAAAGCACUUCAGCAAACUAUAUGCUUUAUGUGUUUAGAUUGUUACUUCAAAAGUCCCCAAAACUCACCAUGACAGUGGCAGUGGGAUAUGCAGAAUAAAUAACGGUUAACUCACUCCGGGAUAACAAAAAUAGCUGCUUUAUUGGGGCAAAAGCAGCAACGCUUUAACCAUACUGGUUCUUUAUCAAGCUCAGUGGCGGUGGGAUGGCCAGUACAUUUGACACUAACCGUUCUUCAACUAAAAUAUUAAUUUAGUGCCUAACCCAAUGCAUCAUAUAAUUUUUCCCUUAUAAUAUUAUGUGAAAUAGAAUUUCAAACACUUACCAUGCCCCUUGAGACAGGCCACACAUUCUCCACACAUUGGAUGAAAGGAUAAAAUGAAGCAGCCAUUUUAUAUUGAUGUUUAUGCAUGUAUUUACACUAAACAUUAAUAAUCUUGUUCUUUCUAAAAUAAAUACAGUUCUCAUAGCUUUCUGACUUAUUUUCCAGCAGUCAGUCUUCCAACAAUUAUAUAUGCAAAUUCACUUAUAAUUUACUGCAAAUGUUAUUUAUAUAUAAUGAACUAUAUGAACUGACUGUUUUGCAAUCCAGUUCCACAGUUAAAUCUGUUUUUUUUUUAGUUCAGCUGUAAAUUCAGAUCUGUCAAAGUGUAUGAAAUAUAGAACAUAUGGAGAUCAAGUAAGCAUGAUGCCAAUGAGUACAGAUUAACUUUGUAUAAUGAAAGGUUAUCAACGGCUAUGUUUAUGGGGAAAGAAACACGUUUUGUCAGGAAGGUAUGUCAUGCAAAAAAACAUUCGUCCUAACACACUUAAACAGAGACAAAUGUAUAGACAGACACAUAACAUGACAUAUAAAGCAGACAGAAACACAGACUAAAAUACAUAGAUGGAUGAACAGAGAUCGCUACACAUACAAUGGCAAACUGAUUCAGAAAUAGUGACAAUAUCACUAAUUGUGCUUUUUCAAUCUUUGUAACUUUAUUUUUUCUACAGUAUCAGUUACUGGACACAUAAUUGCUACAAUACCUAGACUCAACAAAUUAGUAAGGGUCUGGCGUGCCAGCACAACCCUAGCAUAAAUACCUCACAAUUUCUGAUUUGUUCAAUGAUUAUUCAUGUAUCUCUAUUAGGGUAUUUAACUUUAACUAAGUUAUAAUUGUGACAGGAAAAUCACCUGGUACCCAUGUGCUUUUAGAUUUUACAACUUAAAGGGAAACUAUAGUGGCAGGCCCCUCGCGUCCCUCAUGCCCUGCAAUGUCACUACUCAAUUAUCUGCCAUUUAGGAUAUUAAAGCCCUUUGUUUAUGUAGCUGCUUGUCACACCUACCUUGCAGUGGCCUACACAGUCUCCCUACACAUUUAUUGUUCAGAGAUGUGAAAUGUUUAAACUUCCUUUAUGUUGCAGUAUGCUUAAAGGAAUACUAUACGCACCAAAACAACUUUAUCUUAAUGAGGCAGUUUUGGUGUAUAGAUUAUGCCCCUGCAGUCUCACAGUUCAAUCCCCUCCAAUUUUGGAGUCAAAUCACUAUAUUUAUAUAGUUCUCAGUUCUAGUCACAAUUCCCUGCAUGUGACUUGCACAGCCUUCCUAAACAUUUUCUAAAAAAGGAAACUAUAUAUUCUAGGUUCCUAUAUUGCACAGUCUGUUUAAUCUAGAAUUUCUUAUCUCAAACUCUUUUAAUAGCCUGCUAGAGCCUGCAUGAGCCUACAGUAUGAGACUAAAGUUCACUUUACAGAGCAGGAGAUAAAACAUUCUAAAGCAAGUUAACAUCUGACUUAAAAUGUUUUAUUUUCAUGCAGGCUGUGUGAGUCAAAGCCAGAGGAGGUGUGGCUAGGGCUGUGUAAAAAGAAAUAAAAGUAAUUUAAUUUCCUGAAUAAACUCUAUCCCAUGGAUCCUUGGGCCCUUCUUCUCUCUAAACCUGUAGAGACCCUUACUAGAGCAGAAAACAAAAUGAGCGCCUGAAUAGCCCUGGCAACACGGAGAGCGAUCGCAGAAACCUGGUCCACAACCCGUAUUCCCACACAGACAACUAUCGCUAAAAAGAUACAGGACGGCCUGCACAUGGACAAACUCACCUCAUUAAUACACGACACACCCAAACAAUUUCAUAAAAUCUGGGACCCAUGGUUAGAAGGAGACACGUCCCUACCCUGGUAAGACUCACAUAAAUAGGGACCCAGAUACUAGUCAGACCCUAAACAAACCAACGGAUGCACAAACGACCACAUUGGACCACCCUCCUCCCCCCCUGGAAGGGGACACGUGCAGCGGCGAUUCCAAACCCCUAUACCACCCCUACACCCUCUCCCACCCCUAUACCACCCUACACCUAAGCUGAAUACCUUUCACCUAACCACCAUAGACCACAAACCAGGUCAACAGUCAAAGCACACCAUGAAGGAUGGACAGAGACAACUGAACAGGGACUAUGCCCCAGUCAACAGAUGUCCACAGGACCUCUCCAUGCCCACCAACCGGGGUGUACUCCCACACCACUUCACCCUUAGAAGACUUAGAGGCAAAACACACUCUAAACCACUGUCCCGCUGGGGGACAGCAACAUCCUCAAAAAUGCCUGACUGUGCACUGAAAAGCUGGUAUUGCAAAGGCAAAUGCAGAAUCGUGGUAAUUACCCUGCAUUAACCCUCCUCUUUUUUCUGUAUACGUGUUACAAUUCACAGUAAAUGCAAAAUAAAAUCUGUACGACAAAUAUUAAGGAAAAAAAAAAGGUUCCUACCAGACAAAUAUUAUAUGCACCGACCAAUUGGACAGGAACACUUAAUAUGUAUGUCGCACCAUAAAAUUGUACUGUUCUUUUGUUUCUCUUUUUAUCCUCAUUCAUGCUAACCAAUUAUUAUAAUUUUUUGUCAUAGACUUAUCAAUGCUGUUGGGGCAUGACGAGAAUAUGUAUUGUAUAUCCAUGCACUCUUAAAAUAAAGAAUAAUUUUAAAAAAAGUUAUUUAAUUUCUAGAUGGCAGAGAAUUGAGCAGUGAGUCAGCAUGGGGUAUGAUGUAUACACCAAAACUGCUUCAUUAAGCUAAAGUUGUUUUGAUAGUAUCCCUUUAAUUUAGAAUUUCUAAUUGUGGCAGUACUUAACUUAUCCGAGGGCCGGCCGGGGUCAUCUGCUCAAGCUGUGCGUGGCUCAAGCACUCCCGCCUCCACAGAAAUCCUUGUGGGUUUUUUCCAAGCAAAUGUUAAAGGCCGAAGGGAACUACAAUUUCGGCAACAGGGAACUCCUUGCCAUCAUCAUAGCACUCAAAGAGUAAAGGCAUCUCCUGUUACGUGUAUUUAUUAUUAUCUAGCUCACUUUGAGUGUAUUUUUUCUUGUUUUAUAUUUUUAUAUAAAUUACCUUUAAAUAAAAGUACUUUUUUAUUUUACCAACCUUUGCUGCUAUUCUGCUUGAACUACCGUAUCCGUGGUGGGGAUUGUACCACCCAAGCCCGAGGGAUAGAGCAGUCCACAUCUGCUCCAUCAAAUGUGAGUAAAUUUCUUAUCACUUUAAUUGUAUUCUGUGCCUUAUGGUAAACACUAUUUUGGUUUUUAUUUUUUCCUUUUUCACCAACAUUUCUGGAAGGAAAAGACCAUUAUCUAUACCUACAAGUGGGCACUACACUAUAACAUUCUAAGCCCAUAACCAAAGAGUUGCUUAUGUUUCCACCAUUUGAGUGACUGCAACAAGAACCACACUAUAGCCAUAGGCGGGGAUUGUUCCGCCCAGGCAUUCAAGUUAGAGCUACAAAUUUAGCUCCAGGAAAUUGUAAGUGUAUUUCUUUUGUUUUAUUCUAUUUAUUUGGACAGGGACAUACUACACUAUAUAUUUUCCAUUUUUUUCUUUUUCUCCCUGCUUUUAUAUAUAUAUUUUUAAGGACACGUUAGGCGCUGCAUCACUCCUUGUACUUUCAUCUCCUGGAGGGUUCGAAGGAUUCUGUUAUCAUUUUAACGAAUCAUAAGAAUCUUUCUUAUUUAAGCGAAGCUAAGAGGUUGUCUUCUAGACAGGCUAGGUGUUUUUAUCACACUUCAAUUUUGUAAUUACCUGUAGACCUGGUGACCGCAACACCAAAGCAGAUGCUCUGUCUGAGCAGUUUGAAAUAACUGUUAAAAAUUUGAUCUCACUCCUGUCAUACCGCCUGACAGGAUAAUUGCUGCUAUUUCUUCGUCUAUUCUACAAAUUAUACAAACCAAACAAAACAGGGCAUCAAAGGAAAAACCUGCUAUGUUGCUCUCACUGAAAGACAAGACAUGAUGUCACUCUAUCAUGAUUCUACGACAGCUGGGCAUCCUGGUAUCUCUAAAAUUGUAAUUGUAGUUUCACUGAACUUUUGGUGGCCCUCUAUGCGGAAGGACCACAAAUUACGUACAAGCAUGUGUCACUUGUGCCAGCAUGAAGUCCUCCCACAGGGUUUCUUGUGGGUUAUUACAACCUUUACCUAUACCAAAGACCUUGGUCUAAUCUGUCCAUGGAUUUUAUUGUUGACCUUCCUCCUUCCAAAGGUAAAACGGUCAUCCUAAUGAUCGUUGAUAAAUUAUCUAAGAUGACUCAUUUUGUGUCACUUGUUAAGUUACCUUCUUCCAAAGAUAUGGCCGGUAUAUUCACCAGGGAGGUGUUUAGAUUACAGUAUCUCACAAAAGUGAGUACACCCCUCACAUUUUUGUAAAUAUUUUAUUAUAUCUUUUCAUGUGACAACACUGAAGAAAUUACACUUUGCUACAAUGUAAAGUAAUAAGUGUACAGCCUGUAUAACAGUGUAAAUUUGUUGUCCCCUCAAAAUAACUCAACACACAGCCAUUAAUGUCUAAUGUCUGUCGCAUACUCGCACCUGAGGAAGGUGUUUCACUUGUGAGUGUAGCUGGCACAGAUCGACCACAUCCUCUCCUUGCAACAGGAGCUCCACCAACACCAGCAGCACCACAACCAGGGCCACGUCCCUUAUUUGACGCUCUCCUCAUUCUUUGCGUUCACCCACCAAACUAACAGAUGGUUUAUGUCAGGCGACAAUGUAACCGCCAAUAGUCAACAAUGUUUUAAUUUUUUUUAAAGUUAUUGGACUGCAAGAAAUGCACCGCAGGCUGCAAAUGUUCUAUUUAGCACCAAAGAAAUGUGAAUUAGUCAAACUGCAAUGUCACAGCAGUAUUUGACAGUUCUAUUUGACUCUCAGAUAUGAAGUGCAGGCCCGAAAAGGAACUAUUUAGCACCAAAGAAAUGUGAAUUAGUCAAACUGCAAUGUCACAGCACUAUUUGACGGUUCUAUUUGACUCUCAGAUAUGAAGUGCAGGCCACUAAUGUACUUUUUAGCACCAAAGAAAUGUAAAUUAGUCAAACUGCAAUGUCACAGCACUAUUUGACGGUUCUAUUUGACUCUCAGAUAUGAAGUGCAGGCCCCCAAUUUACUAUUUAGCACCUAAAGAAUUUGAUUUUUUAAAACUGCUAUGUCACAGCAGUAUUUGACGGUUCUAUUUGACUCUCAGAUAUGAAGUGCAUGCCCCAAAGGCACAAUUUAGCACCUAAAAAAUUUGAAUGUUUAAAAAUGCGCUGUAAGCACAGUAUUUGACGGUUCUAUUUGACUCUCAGAUAUGAUGUGCACCGCAGGCCGCAAAUGCACAGUAUUUAUUUGAUGGUUCUAUUUGAUUCUCAGAUAUGAAGUGCAGGCCCCAAAUUAACUUUUUAGAAGCUAAAGAAUUUGAAUUAGGCAAACUGCAAUGUCCCAGGUAUGCCUGCUUGACUGUAGGCAAGACACACUUGUCUUUGUACUCCUCACCUUGUUGCCGCCACACACACUUGACACCAUCUGAACCAAAUAAAUUUAUCUUGGUCUCAUCGGACCAAAGGACAUGGAUCCAGUAAUCCAUGUCCUUAGUCUGCUUGUCUUCAGUAAACUGUUUGCGGGCUUUCUUGUGCAUCAUCUUUAGAAGAGGCUUCCUUUUGGGACGACAGCCAUGCAGACCAAUUUGCAGUGUGCGGCGUAUGGUCUGAGCACUGACAGGCUGGCCCCCCACCCCUUCAACCUCUGCAGCAAUGCUGGCAGCACUCAUACAUCUAUUUCCCAAAGACAACCGCUGUAUAUGACGCCGAGCAUGUGCACUCAACUUCUUUGUUUGACCAUGGCGAGGCCUGUUCUGAGUGGAACCUGUCCUGUGAAACCGCAGUAUGGUCUUGCCCAACGUGCUGCAGCUCAGUUUAAGGGUCUUGGCAAUCUUCUUAUAGCCUAGGCCAUCUUUAUGUAGAGCAUCAAUUCUUUUUUUUCAGAUCCUCAGAUCAGUUCUUUGCCAUGAGGGGCCAUGUUGAACUUCCAGUGAACAGCGAUAACACCAAAUUUAACACACCUGCUCCCCAUUCACACCUGAGACCUUGUAAAACUAACACGUCACAUGACACCGGGGAGGAAAAAUUGCUAAUUUGGCCCAUGGCCAUCUGUCGUUCACCUCACCCCCUUGCAAAUCAGCCAAGCAGUCUGAGCCACAAGUCAUGCAGCAGUCUCUUAUGCUUUUUGAUGACUCUGCUGGCAGGGUUUCCGUGGGCCAUCCACCUAGCCCAGCCGCAGGAGUGGAAGAGAUUGAGUGCACUGAUGCACAACCACUUCUGUGUCAGGAUGUGGAUAAGCGAGGACCACCGACGAAACACAGGUGCCAACUGCUGUGGCUUCCUGCAGUGUGCAGACCAGCAAGGAGGGCAGGGUUGAGGAGUGGGUGGAAGAUGAUGUGGAGGAUGAUGAGGUCCUAGACCCCACAUGGAAUCAAGGUCAUGCAAGUGACGUGUCCAGUUUGGAGGAAGAGGCACAGAGGCACCAGCACAGCAUUAGAGGGAGCAGGGUGCAAAAGCGGAGUGGCCGUCCCCUAGACAGUACGCCUGCUACUGCCCACCGCAUCCAGGGACCGAGCACACCAAAACCAGCUCCAAGGAGUUCCCUGGCGUGGCAGUUCUUCAGAAAAUGUGCUGACAACAAGACAUAAAUGGUUUGCACGCUGUGCGAUCAGAGCCUGAAGCGAGGCAUAAACGUGCUAAACCUGAGCACAACCUGCAUGACCAGGUAUCUACAUGCAAAUUACAAGCUGCACCUCAAAAAUCAAGAAAUGUCUCAGGCUCCUCCUGGUUCCUCUUCUGCUGCUGUCUAGGCCUCUUCCUCCACCUCUGGAGUCACAGUGGCACCUGCCACCUCGCAGAGGAUGUGGCAGCAACAACACCACGUCCGCCACCGUUCCCAAGCAUCUCCACACUGUCCCAUGGAAGCAUUCAGCUGUCCAUCUCCCAAUCACUGGAGAGAAAGAGGAAGUACGCCCCUACCCACCUGCUAUCCCUGGCCCUCAAUGCCAGCAUUUCAAAAUUCGUGGCCUUUGAGAUGCUGUCAUUCCAUCUGGUGGAGACGGACAGUUUUAAAAACCUGAUGGCGGUGGCUGUCUCACAGUACGUGGUUCCCAGCCGCCACUACUUUUCCAGGCGAGCCAUCCCUUCCCUGCACAACCAAUUGGCAGACAAAACCAUCUGUGACAAGGUCCACAUAACCACAGAUACGUGGACCAGUAAGCAUGGGCAGGGACGCUAUAUCUCCCUAACUGCACACUGGGCAAAUGUAGUGCCGGCUGGGCCUGAGGCGGAUAGCAGUUUGGCGCAUGUCCUUCCGCCACCGACGAUUGCAGGGCAUUUCUCUUUGCCUCCUGUUGCCUCCUCCUGUUGCCUCCUCCUCCUACUCCGCUUCCUCCUCCUCUACCACCUCCUCAUCCGGUCAGUGUAACACCUUCACCACCAACUUCAGCACAUCCAGGGUGAAACGACAGCAGGCUGUUUUAAAACUCAUGUGUUUGGGGUAAAAACCCCACACUGCGCAGGUGCUGUGGACGGGCAUGGAACAACAGACCAAUGAGUGGUUGUUGCCACUGUGCUUCAAGCCCGGCCUUCAAGUGCGAUAAUGGGCGAAAUCUUGUAGCAGCUCUGGGCCUAGCUGGUUUGACGCAUAUCCCUUGCCUGACGCAUGUGCUGAAUUUGGUGGUGCAGAAAUUCCUGAAAAACUACCCAGAUAUAUCAGAGCUGCUGCAGAAAGUGCGGGCCGUUUGUGCGUGCUUUCAGCGUUCUCACCCUGCUGCUGCUCGCCUGCGCUGAUUACUGGGUGGCCACCCUGCUGGAUCCCCAUUACAAAGACAACGUGCCAUCCUUAAUUCCCUCACUGGAGCGUGACCGUAAGAUGCGUGACUACCAGCACACGCUGGUAGACGCGCUGCUGAGGACAUUCCCAACUGACACCGGGGGCUCAAUGGAAGCACAAGGCGAAGGCAGAGGAGGAGGAAGAGGUUGCCAACGCAGCUGGGGCACCGCCAGCACCUCAGAAGGCAUGGUUAGCAUGGCCGAAAUGUGGAAAAACUUUGUCAGCACGCCACAACAACCAGCACCACCAUCUGAUAUGAAACAUCUUAGCAGGAGGCAGCAUUUCAGGAACAUGGUGGAACAGUACAUGUGCACACGCCUACACGUACUGACUGAUGGGUCUGCCCCAUUCAACUUCUGGGUCUCCAAAUUGGGCACAUGGCCUGAGCUUGCCAUUUAUGCCUUGGAGGUGCUGGCCUGCCCUGCAGCCAGUGUAUUGUCUGAACGUGUGUUUAGCACGGCAGGAGGCGUUAUCACAGACAAGCGCAGCCGCCUGUCCACAGCCAACGUGGACAAGCUCACGUUUAUUAAAAUGAACCAGGCAUGGAUCCCACCAGACUUGUCUGUACCUUAUGCAGAAAUGACAUUUAUACCGGCCUCACCCAGCCAUUGUUAUACUCAAGUGCACUUAUUCUUUCUUUUUUUAUAUAUCUCAAUAUUUGGGGGGCUAGCCCAAUAAAAAAAAAAAAAAAAUACAAAAAAACGAAAACAAAAAAAAAACAGUGUUGGCUACCUCCUCCUCCUCCACCGCCGCUUCCACCUACACCGCCACGGUCACCGCCUCCUCAACCUAUGGGUCACUUAGUAUAAACUAUGUACACAAUAGCAGAGGCUUGUGAAAGCCUUUUCUGCAUGCAUCAGGAGUUGAACAACAGUUUGAACAAUGAAAGAGAAUACCCUGCACUCCAACCCUCUCUCAAAUGGAUAAUUCUGGUGAUCCUCCUGACAGCCAUGCUUUAGAUUUUGAUUUAUGUUCUUCCAAAGCUAAAAUCAAAGAUGUCAUCUAAUGCUAUUUUAUGGCUCAGCUGUAUUUUUAUUUUUUAUGUAUUUUAUGUUAUUUUAAGUGAUUUCCCUAUGUCCUUUUACAGCCCUCUAGCCCUUUCCAGGACUUUUUUAGAGGCAUUUUAGUGCCCAAAAGUUGUAGAAUAUAUAUAUAUUUGUAGUUGGGGACAAUAGGCCGAGUUUAUAGUAGUGGUAUAAGUCGGUUGUGUUGUGUCAAAACCAACAUUUGUGUAGGCCUGUAAAAGAGGGCCCACUUAGUGAAUGCUUAAUAAAGAGUGUGGUGGGUGGGCUGAACCAGGAAGUCUCAGCCCACAGGAAGGGGAGACCUGUGAAUUUAUAGGCUGGAUAAACCCCUCCCACAACUACACACUCCGCCUUUCCAUUUGUAGUCGGCAGGGUCGUCUCUAAAGCGGGGCAAACGGGGCAGCUGCCCCGGGCCCAGUUACUCCUGGGGGGCCCAAAGUAGCUACCCUGUAGGCCCCGCUGUCCGCCCCCAAUUUUUUUUUUUGCCGCAUGGGCCCGCCGGUGCUGCAGCUGCACUUGGAGCCCACACACUGAGAGGGCCCAGUCGAGCGCUGUGGCCCUUUAAGAGCACGACCGGGCCCUCUUGUUUUACGGCAGCAGGCUGGGAGAAAGUGACUGCCAUGAGUCACUUCCUCCCAGAUAGAGUGUAGCCGCACAGGAUGGAGGAAAAGGCAGUCAGGAGGGAGCUGUCAGAGCCCAACUCUACCGCAGCAUGCCACUGGACCCAGGGAACCACCCUCCUGAACCCAUAAGGUAGGGCUGGAGGGUGGCUUUAUAAAUGUAAACUUUGUGUGUGUGUGUGUCAGUAUUUGUGUGAGUCAGUAUGUAUGUGUGUGAUGUAACGGAACUCCCCGUACUCCGACCGAGUACCUUCCAUUGAUGGACGCUUCCUAGCUUGCGCCGAGUACCACAAGCACCGCACCGAACACCACAACCACUGCAGACUCCACAACUGCCGUAGCUUAACUGGAGUCUCGCCAUCUUCCUUCCACCCUGGAUCAGCCUCUGUCCUCCAGGACCGUGUGGUGAAGACCUCUCCUCCAGGAGAGCGUAUCAGGAACAAGCUCUUAAAAGAGCUUUAAGUGAUUAAAGCUCAGGGGAGUAUGCAGAGCAUAGCAAUCCCCAGUGUGAGUAUAGCUGUCCCCUCCAAUCACGAGACAAGACUACGUGAUUAAAGCUCAGGGGAGUAUGCAGAGCAUAGCAAUCCCCAGUGUGAGUAUAGCUGUCCCCUCCAAUCACGAGACAAGACUACGUGUUGAGGGUCAAGAAGAACUGACUGUACUGGCACAUACAGCCUCUUUUAUUCACAUUCUACAAACAUAGUACUGCCCACAGGGUUUUGAAGAACAACCAAUCAACACAUUACAACACAGCUAACACUCCCAUUCAUUACAUCAGAAAUCUUCCCCUCUGCCUGUGAUACAAUUAUCUCAACACAAUAGACUAACUUAAUUAUCACAGGCAGGAAAAUACAGUAAUAUAAAGCAUAUCACAGGGACCCCAAAACAUGCAAUAACCCCAAAAAUAUAUCCUCAGAAACCGGGGGAUCUGGGUGAACCACAUAUCCAAAAUGCACCCAGAUCUGUUCUUUGGAAGAUACGGUUUAAUGCAGAUUCCGCAGACCAUAUACAGGCUAUAUGAAAAAUAAUUAAUGUUAAAUGUGUCCCCUGUUCUAUAGUUUAAAACUUCUGAACAAUGUCUUUGUUUACCAAAUACCGGCGAGAUGGCACCGUGUAGAAAAGUCAAAACAGUGUCUGUGAGUUAAAAUGGCCGCCAUCCAUUUUUCUCACCAUGUGCUUCAUCCAUUGUUCUCACCAUGUGCCUCUGAUACAUGAAAUGGUGGCCACCCCGUAACUCCACAGUUUGUCUGAUAGUCUAUCCAGCCGAACCAACAGAUGAAACACAUGGGGAACAGUGCAACAAACGAAGGGAAUCAUAAAAAAUAUGGACAAUAGUCAUAUUUGUGCACAAUCUCCAGUUUUGUCACAGGGCACAAAUAGUGUUUUCAAAUGCCAUAUAUCCCAGUGCCAUAGUCAUGUGGCAGGAGGCUAGUAAUCAGUCCUCUCCAAUGCCCAGUGGCAAAUGGCAGUUUGUCACAGUAUGUCUGUCAGGAUGUCUGUGUCACCAUUUCUGUGUGUAUGUCUGUGUGUGUGUGCAUCAGUAUGUCUGUGUGUGUGUCAGAAUGUCUGUCAGUCAUGGCAGUAUGUCUGUCAGUGUGGCAGUAUGUCUGUCAGGUUGUCUCUGUGUGUCAGUAUGUCUGUGUGUCAGUAUGUCUGUCAGGGCAUAUGUGUGUGUAUCACUAUGUCUGUAUGUAUGUCUGUGUGUGUGUAAGUAUGUCUGUGUGUGUGUCAGUAUGACUUUCAGGGUGUCUGUAGGUGUCAGUAUGUCAGUCUAUGUGUGUCAAUAUGUCUGUCAGGGUGUAUGUGUGUGUGUCAGUAUGCCACUGUGUGUGGCAGUAUGUCUGUGUGUGUGGCAGUAUGUCUGUCAGGACGUAUGUGGGUGUGUCAGUCUGUCUGUGUGUGUGUCAAUAUGUCUGUCAUUGUGGCAGUAUGUCUGUCAGGGUGUCUGUGUGUGUCAGUAUGUCUGUCAGGGCAUAUGUGUGUGUGUCACUAAGUCUGUGUGUCAGUAUGUCUUUGUGUGUGUCAGUAUGUCUGUCUAUGCAUGUCAGUUUGUCUGUCAGUGUGCGUCUCAGUUGGUCAGUGUGUAUGUCAGUAUGUCAGUAUGUCUGUUAGUGUGUAAAAAUGUAAACUUUGCAUGUGUGUCAGUAUGUAUGUGUGUGUAUCAGUAUUUCUGUGUGUCAGUAUGUCUGUGUAUGUCUUAGUAUGUCUUUGUGUGUCUUAGUAUGCGUGUGUAUGUGUGUGAGUAUGUAUGUCAGGGUAUCUGUGUGUGUGUGUGUGUAUCAGUAUGUCUGUCAGUGUGUGUCACUAUGUCAGUAUGUCUGUCAGUGUGUAUCUCUAUGUUGUCAGUAUGUAUAUCUGUGUGUGUGUGUGUCAGUGUGUAUAUCUGUGUAUCUGUAUUUAGUAUAUCUAUGUUUCUCUAUGUGGUCUGUGUGUAUCUGUAUCUGCAUGUGUGUCAGGUUGUGUAUCUGCGUGUCUCUAUGUGUAUCAGUGUGUGUAUCAGUAUGUUAUCAUUGUAUGUAUUUGUGUAUCUGUAUGUUGUCAGUGUGUGUACCUGCGUGUGUAUAUCUGUGUGUGCAUCUGUAUAUAGCCAAUGUUUUUAUCUGUGUAUCUGCAUGUGUGUCAGUAUAUGCAUCAGUGUGUCUGAGUAUCCAUAUGUGUCCGUGUUUGUAUAUAUGUCUCUCUGUGUGUCAGGUUGUGUAUCUGUGUGUCCGUAUGUGUUGGUGUGUGUAUCUGUGUCAGUCUGUAUCUGCAUGUGUGUCAGUGUGAGUGUCAGUGUUUAUAUCUGUGUAUCUGCAUGUGUUUCAGUGUGUGUGUGUAUCUGUGUGUGUUACAUCUCAUCAUUCAAAUUGUCAACACUACACACAAGUACACCCCUGCAUUUAACCUUCAACACUACAUACAAACACAGUCCUACAUUGAAACGUCAAGAAUACAUACAAACACACCUUUGUGUUAAACACCAAAAAUAUAUAUACACAUCCCAGCAUUAAAAAAAAACCAAGACAUAGAUGCAUGCUUGCAUUCAAACACCACAGAGAAGCACACCCCUACAUUUACACAAACAUACUCCAUACAAAAACAUGCUUCCAUUCAAACACACAAACACAGCUCAGUGCUAAAUACAACUCUGCAAGCAUGGGGAAAUGGUUUCGCUACUGCGUUGGGAAGUGGAGAGUGUGAUUGCAUGUCAGGGAAUAGGGGUCAGGCCGGGCCGGCACUACCUGUAAGGCAACCUAGGCAGCUGCCUAGGGCGCAACUUAGCAGGGGGCGCCGGAUCCCUGCACCAGGAAUCACCGGUGCGGCUUUCUGUUCGUUAAUUGUUGUGAGCACUGUUAAAAACAGUCUCCAGAGAGCCUCUUCCACACUAGGCCUGUGGAGCCAGACAGAGCCCAUAAUCAGCUUCUUGUCCUCAUCUGGUGGUAAGUAGGCAAUCCAAUAUAUUAUUAGUGGCACUAAUUUCUAAUUUACCUCACAUUAAAUGGAUACUAUAGUCACCAGAAGCACUACAGCAUAAUGUAGGGGUUCUGGUGUCUAUAGCCUGUGCCUGUAGGCUUUUUAAUGUAAACACACCGUCUUUUCAGAUAAAAGACACUUUGUGAAGACUGGCGUUGGCCCAUAUGGCAGAGCAUAUGGGCGGGGCAUUGUGAUGUCUCAUGGUGGGCAGGACAUAUGGGGGGGGGCAAAUAUUUUUUUGCCUAGGGCGGCAAAAAUCCUUGCACCAGCCCUGGGGUCAGGGGGUCCCCAUGAAAUGCUUGCCCAGGGCCCAAUCAAUAUUAAAGAUGGCCCUGGUAGUCGGGGACAAUAAGCAGAGUUAUAGUAGUGGCAUAAGUCGGUUGUGGUGUGCUGAAACCGACGUUCGGGUAGGCCUGUAAAAGAGGGCAAAAAGUUAACCAUUUAAUCCUUAGUACGUGUUGGCAUUACAUAACCAGUACUUUAAAUGCCUGUCUCAGUUCCCUCUCCGUUUGAGGGAUAUCUGGUGUAUUCAGAUGAUUCCAAUGUCUCAGUUUAUAAUGUGUGCUAGGAUGUUUACUAAACGCUGCAGAAGCAGUGCUUAUUCUAAAAGAAUGACCUGAAUAUGUUGAAAGGUCGUAUCAGAGUUUUAUGAAUUGUGUCCUGACGUACAGGAUGAAUUUGAUGUAGUGAGUGGUUACCGUGUAACCUUAAAAGAGAGCAUAGGACAAUUGGUCUACAGGGGCGGGCUGGGCCGGGGGGCAGGGAGGCAAUUGCCCCCCAGGCCGCCCUAAAUUCUUUUAAGACCGGCCGCUGCAGGACCGGUUCUAAUGCUGCAGAUGCCUGAGCGCUAUGUUAAGAGCCUCUGGCGGCUGCAGCACAGCUUCUCACCUCCCCUCCCCUUCCCUGUAGUGUGGCCGAGCUCCUCUCCGAUCCGCGGUGCCCGGCUGGAGUGAUAGGAAGGUGCACAGGUCCGCGCGGAACAGGAGUUUCUGUUUCCUGUACCCGGCCGGACUGACAGGAAGUGCACACUGAGUGUGCACCUUCCUAUGACUCCGGCCGGGCACUGCGGCCGGAGAGGAGCUCGGCCACGCUACAGGGAAGGGGAGGGGGGAAGAGUAAAAAGAGGGGGGGGAGUAAGAAGAGGGGGAGAGUAAAAGAGGGGGGGGAGAGAAGAAGAGGGGGAGAGCAAAAAGCAGGGAGAGUAAAAGAGGGGGGAGUAAGAAGAAGGUGGAGAUAAGAAAUGUAGGGGUGCUAGCAGGCUGUGAGCAAGAAAAAGAGGGGAAACCAAAGAAGGGGAGAAGAAAAGAGGGGGUAAGAAAGAGGGGGGUGGGGCAAUAGCUGGGUGAGCAAGGCUGAAGAAGGGAGGAAGAAGAAGAAGAAGUGGGAGGAGGAAGAAGAAGGAGAGUAAGAAGGAGGAGAUAAGAAAAGAGGAGGGAAGCAAGAAGGUUAGGCUGGGGAGCAAGAAAGUGCUGGGGUGCAAGAAGAAGAAGGGGGGAGUAAGAAGCCAAAGAAGAAGGGGGAGGCGAAGAAGAAGAAGAGGAGCAAGAAGAAGGCCAGAAGAGGGGAGUACAGCACCCAUGAGGGGAGGCAAGAAGAAGAAGAGGUGGAGAAUGCGAAGUGAAGGGGAGUAAGAAGAAGAAGAGGGGGGGAGGGCAGUUAAAAUAGGGGGGUAAGAAGAAGAAGAGGGGGGGGGCAGAAAGAAGGGGAGUAAGAAGAAGAAAUAGCUGAGUGGGGAGGCAGAAGAAGAAGGAGGUAAGAAGAAGAAGGGGGUAAGAAGAAGAGGGGGGGUAAGCAAAGAAGGGGAGUAAUAAGAAGAAGGGGGGAGGUGAAGAAGAAGAAGAGUAGGGAGUAAGAAGGGCUGAAGGGGGUAAGAAGGAGUAAGGGGGUAAGAAGAAGAGGGUGUAAGAAAAAGAGGGGGUAAGAAGAAGGGGGAGUAAUAAGAAGAAGGGGGGAGUAAGAAGAACAAGGGGGGAGGGGGGGAGGAGAACACAGGGAGGGUGAUGGGGGGGUAUGAGAAGAGCACAGGGAGGGUGGGUGAGUGUGAGAAGAGGCCGCUAAGGGAGGGUGGGGGAGAGGAGAGACCACUAAGGAGCAGGGGAGAGCUCUAAGGGACAGCUCUAUAGGACAGGGGGCAAAACAUGGAGCUCUUUCACACUACGCGCACACACACACAAUGCAUCCCUACACACACAGAAACACAACAUGCUUCCCUUACACACAGAGAAACACGCAAUGCAUCCAUUACACACACACAAUGCAACCCUUACACACAAAGACAAUGCAUCCUUUGCACACAUACACAGAAACACACAAUGCAAACCCUUACACACACAUGCAAACACACACACUGCUUUUCUUACAUACACACAGAAACACAAUGCAUCUCUUGCACUCAAUGCACACACAUACAGACACACACCUUGCAUCCCUUAUGCAUACAAACACAGAUUCACACAAUGCAUCCCUUACACACAACCAGAAACACACAAUACAUCCCUUAAACACAAAUACACACUGCAUCACCUACACAAACUGGUAUCCCUAUACACUACAUACCAUAAGCACACAUAUUAGAUCCUCUACAAUAACACAUAACACAUCCCCUACACACUCCACUCCCUGUGAGUGAACUCAUGGGUGGGUGGAAUAUAUAAGUGGACUUAUGAGUGGGCCUUAUGGGCAUACUCACCGUCAGGCCCUGGGGCCCAGACCUUGAGCUGUGUAAGGGGCCCCCAAAAAAUGGAGCUGCUUCCAAUUCUCACAGAACAUUGAAUUUUGUGACCACAGUUGCAAACAGCCUCCAGAGAUCCUAUUCUACACCAAACAAGUGGAGCCAAACUGCAACCCAUCAUCAUCCUCAUCUGGUUGUAAGUAGGCAAUCUAGUAUAUUAUUAGUGACACUAAUCUAUAAUUUACCUCACAUUAAAGGGACACUAUCUAACCACUAGCUUAAUGAAGUGGUUCUGGUGUCUAUAGCCGGUCCCUGCAGGCUUUUUAAUGUAAACACACACUGUGUGCAGCACUGGCGUUAGUUCAUAUUGCAGAUCAUAUGGGUGGGGCAUUGUGAUGUCACAUGGGGGGGCGGCAAAUUUUUCUUUUGUCUACGGCGGCAAAAAUCAUUGCACUGCACUCUCCUCAUGCCCAGACCUGUCUUUACCGCAGUGCAAGUGCCCUCUGCCCCUAAUUUACAGUGGCUCACACUCACAACAAGCAGUGCCUGGAGCCCUUUGCAGAGACGGGAACAAAGAGGGUCUGCGGCAGCUGGCUGUCCUGCAAGCAUUACAUUAAACAGCUGUUCCCCAUGCAGCCACCGGUGGCGCUGUGCUGGGAGAAUGUGAUUACUCUUCACUUCCUCCCAGCCUACAGAGCAGCGCAUGGGAGAGAGAGAGGAGGAGGCAUAAUUUAAUCUUACAACAAAUCCAGUAAGCAAAUCUUUAUAAAUUUGGGGGGGAUCAGCUCUGUUUCCACAGUUUAUUGGUGUUUACUCUGAUGUCUGUAUUAAUAUUGAGGGAUAUCUAAGUAGUAACGUCAGUGUGUGUCAGCAGAGCCAGCGGUUGGGGUGUGCAAGCUGUGCGGUCACGCAGGGUGCCAUGACAACAGAGGCGCCCGGCGGCCAACACAGCUCACAAGUUGGGGACACCAGCAUAUUCAAUUUAAACGAUUCGCUGGUGGUCCACUGGUGCGCACCAGCAGUAGGUGCAGUCAGAUUAUAUCCUCUCCCUCGUGGUUCCGGCGCUCAGUUAGUGAGUCAGAGCACAGGCUCAGAGAUUCUCAGCCUGCGCUCUAACAACAUUAAAAGUCAGAGCCGUGAAGGAGCGGGUAUGGCAAAGAGCUACUGAUUAGCAUAACAUCAAUAUCCGUUAUAAAACCAAGAAAAGGUGGGCAUGGAUGGUGAACUGAUUUGGUAGUGCCCCCCAGGCCUAAGGCUGCCAGCCCUCUUCUGUUGGUCUAGUAUGUUGAUCUGGCACCAUUUAUUGUUGAUAGUAUGAAGGUAUAUGUCUGCAGGUGGGUAUGAGAUAAGUUUAAGUGUUUGGUAGCUAAUUUAAGGUUGAGGUGGAAAAAGGAUGUGAAUGUCAUCAUAGUACUGAUGGAGUACAGAUUGACGAUUCGAUAUUCGGAAGUGAACUUAUUAAACUUGCCAGAGUUCUGGUAUAUAAAUGGUUGAUAUAAACAGAGAGAUCCGCAUGUGCCAGCAAUCUACCAUGACCAUGAGAUGAGCUAAUCCUGGAAUGUAGAAGUUUUAGUAUGUGGUUAAGCAGCCGUGGAAUGUUUGAAGGAAUACCUGAAAUGGGAUUGAGACAGCGCUUCAGCUGCUAUGUGUGACAGGCUGGUAUGUGUAUGCAGACAAGGGAAAAUUGAUUUGUUGCUGCCAGCCAAGUAACUUUGCAUACAGCUAUGUUUGAGUAGUAAUUGACAGACUUCCUCCCCCAUAGAGCCCCUCAGGCUUGUGCAGUGGCCGCAAUGGAGUAUAUUACAAUGAGAGCUGAAGGUUACUAAAAGAGUAGACUUCAUGUCUCUGUGGGCCAUGUUUCAAAGAACCAGUUGUCCUUGAUAAUGGCUAAAAUAACAGGGUAAUCAUUGGUCAGUGGGGAAAUGAACCUUUGCCAGUGAAUGACUCAGUCUUCCCUGAUACGCUGGACACUGUCCACGAGGGGCAAUGCUGUAUUGACAAUAAGUCAAGAUGUACACCUAGUUAUAUUACAUUUAUAGGACUAUGGUAUAUCUUGGGGUAACGGAAUACCCAGGAAGAAACGGGGCCAUUGGCUUGUGAAUGAUCUAGAGUAUAGGUUCCUCAACAGUCAGAAAUGUGUCAUGAUAAUGUAUUGUAUAACACUCACAGACAGUCAAUAGCAACCAUGAGAGGGUUACCACAAAUACAUUGAAUCAUAAGUCUGUACAGCUCGGCUUCAGUACUGUUGCUGGGAAUGGUAAGUCUUUAUGCAUGAGUUUGGCAGCAUUUAGGAACUGUGUUAGUGGUUUCCUGGUACUUUACCAGAGUACAAUGGCGGGGUACUUGGGAAUGAAAUAACCUCUUCUAGUUUCAUGGUGAGAGACAUACUAUGAUGAAUAAACAAUGAGUAAAUAUAAUGGGCAUCUUGAUGAGACUGUAGCCCUCUAUCAACUGGCAGCUCGCUAAGUGCCGGAUGGCGAAGAAAUUAGAUUUACAAGGGGAAUGGGAGGCCUUGCUAAAUGCCACGUGGCUCAGAGAGGCUCUAGCUUUGAUUUUUUUCACGGUUCUCGCCAGGGACGGAUUGGGAGAAAAAUUCGGCCCGGGCAUUUUUUUAACACAGCGGCCCACUAAAAAGGGGGCGGGGCAGAGGAGGUGUGUUUUGUCAUCACCAAUGACAAACACGCCUCCUCUCAAAGUGAGCAUGUUGGGUCAAUUCUCUUCCAGGGCAGACCAUGCGCAGAGCUCUGCUGAAGAGCUCUAGCAUGAGAAAAAAGUCCUGUAUUUGUUAUGCACAGUGCAAGCAAAUUUAAUAACAUGCUUGCACUGUGUUUCCUUGCAACUUGUCUCUGGUGUCUUUAUAAAUGGAUACCAGGAGACAAAAGGCCAGGAAAGAGAAUUGUGCAUGUGUUUGGAGCCUGCUUGUGGUAUUGCGUGUGUGUAGAGUGAGCUGGUCGUGGUGUGGUAUUGUGUAAUAAGGUCGGUUUUAGUCGUGUUGUGUUUGUGGUGUAAUGUGAUGCAUAUGUGGCUCAGGGACCCCCUCCCGCCCGGCUCUGGAAAGGGGUUAAAACUUACCUUUUUCCAGCGCCGGGCGGGGAGCUCUCCUCCUCCGAUCCGCCCCGUCGGCUGAAUGCGCACGCGCGGCAAGAGCUGCGCGCAUUCAGCCGGUCGCAUAGGAAAGCAUUUAUAAUGCUUUCCUAUGGACGCUUGCGUGCUCUCACUGUGAUUUUCACAGUGAAAAGCACGCAAGCGCCUCUAGCGGCUGUCAAUGAGACAGCUGCUAGAGGCUUUGGGGGAAGGCUUAACCCAUUGAUAAACAUAGCAGUUUCUCUGAAACUGCUAUGUUUAUAAAACAAUGGGUUAACCCUAGAAGGACCUGGCACCAAGACCACUUCAUUAAGCUGAAGUGGUCAGGGUGGCUAGAGUGGUCCUUUAAGAGUGUAGUGUGUGUGUGUGUGUGUGUGUGUGUGUGUAUAUAUAUUUGGAAGUAUUGUGUAUGUGUGUGAAAGUGCUGUGUGUGAUGGGUGUGAGAGUGCUGUGUGAGAGAGUGCUGUGUGUGUGUGAGAGUGCUCUGUGAGAGUGCUGUGAGAGAGUGCUGUGAGUGUGAUGGGUGUGAGAGUGCUGUGAGUGUGAUGGGUGUGAGAGUGCUGUGAGAGAGUGCUGUGUGUGUGAAAGUGCUGUGUGUGAUGGGUGUGAGAGUGCUGUGUGAGAGAGUGCUGUGUGUGUGUGAGAGUGCUGUGAGAGUGCUGUGUGUGAUGGGUGUGAGAGUGCUGUGUGCGAUGGGUGUGAGUGCUGUGUGAGUGAGUGCUCUGUGUGAUGGGUGUGAGAGUGCUGUAUAAAUGUUAUUGUGUGUAUGUAGGGGGGGUAAAAAAAAAAAAAAAAACAGUCAUUAUGUCCCCCCCUCCCUUCUUACCUUUAGCCUGGGAGGGGGGGUCCGGCACGCUGGGAGGCAGGGUGGCAGUGUUCCCUGGUGGUCCUCGUGGGUGAGUGAACUCUAGCCUGUGAGGCUAGAGUUCACUCACGCGAGAUCCGGCCGUUGCCAUGGCAACGCACCGGAUCUCGCGAGAGGAACCCGGCGGAGCUGCAAGUUAGAGCUCCGCCGGGUCCUCUCUCCAGCCUGGCUCCCUCUCUGCCCGCCGGCGGCCGCAUGUGGGCCGGUCAGGGAGAUCCUUGAUCUCCCCACCGGCCCGUCGUGGCAAACAGCGGGGCCGGCGCUGGGAGAGUGCCGGCCCUGCAUAGACCGGCAGGGGAGAUCCUGGGACCUCCCCUGCCGGCCUCGGCCCCACGGCCACCGCGGCCCACCGGGCAUUUGCCCGGUGUGCCCGAUGGCCAGUCCGGGCCUGGUUCUCGCCGUGACAUCCAGACUGCCAGACGAGAUCAACCCAGAAGUGCCCAACAAGGGAUUUGAACAUGGGUGCUUCAUGGUUCUCAGCCUGUAUUCCUGCCCGUGAGCCACUUCAGUUCUUGGCUUGGCCUGAAACUUAUCCUUGCAAUGUCUCCAGCAAUGGAGCUGGAUUUACCUGAGACUGCUCCUGUCACUCAUGGUUCACCUGUGGCUGAUCACUGAUUAGCCAGGUAUAAGACACUUCCUAUCCUUGAGGGCAGUGUCAGUUCAUUUCUCGAUGUUCAAGAUGGAUUGUUAGCUCCUGUUUGCCUUGAAACCUAGAACCUAAGCCACCGACUUUAUCAAAGUCUGCACCGCUAAUCUACUUUUCGGAUGGAUUAGCAAAGCCCAAUAAAACAGGUUAAGCUCCUCCAUUUGUUACAUGGCUCCCCUUUUGUGGAACACCCCGGCAGACCCGGAUUGAUCCUUUUCGGGUCAACUUGGGGCUGUCUGGCUGACGGUUAGGGCAGAAGUUCGGUUUGCCUAGACAGUCCAUCUGCGUUCCCGUUGAAUUUGCAAGGCCGAUAUUGAAUGGAAAAAUUAUAUGGUUGUAGCGCCAAGCUCCAUCGCAAUAAACAUCCAUUAUCUCCGGCCACUCGAUUCAACCAUACUAGAGGAUUAUGAUCAGUGAUGAGUGUAAAUUCCUGACCAUACAAAUACGGGGUAAGUUUCUUUAAUGCCCAGAUCAGGGCUAAACAUUCCUUCUCCACUGCCGCGUAACUCACUUCUCUGGGUAACAAUUUUCUCACUUAGGUACGCGACAGGGUGUUCUCCUCCAUCUUCCCCGAUCUGGCUCAGAACUGCCCCCAGUCCGUACAUGGAGGCAUCUAUAUGGACGACAAAUCUUUUGUUAGGGACUGGGGCAGAUAGCACAGGAGCGUUGAUUAGCGCUUUCAUGUUCCAUCUCUCCUUCCCAGUGCUCUCAGAUGAGAUUGAGGGGGCCCCGAAUUCUCCUUCCAUAGAGCAGCUCAAACGGAGAGAACCCAGUGGAUUCCUGUGGCACCUCUCGAUAUGCAAACAAGAGGUGCGGCAAGAAUCGCUCCCAGUCUCUGUACUCCGCAGUAAAAGUCCGCAGUAACUAUUUCAGGGUACCGUUAAAGCGCUCACAGAGCCAGUUAGUCUGGGGGUGGUAGGAUGAGCUGAAGAGGGUCUUAAUACCACAAAUCUUCCAUAAUUGUUGGGUUAAGUCUGAGGUAAACUGUGUCCCUCGGUCAGACAGUAUCUCUUGUGGGAACCCCACUCUGGUGAAUAUCCCGUCCUAAGCACUGGCGACAGUGUCAGCCUGGAUAUUCAUCAGAGCGACGGCUUCCGGGUAGCGGGUGGCAUAGUCCACCACGGUAAGAAUGUAUUUCUUACCGGAGGGACUGGGGUUAGGUAGGGGUCCCACCAGAUCGACUGCCACCCUACUAAAUGGCUCUUCUAUCACGGGCAUGGGCGACAAUCGUGCCUUCGGGUGGUCCCCUCGCUUCCCUACUCGUUGGCAGACGUCACACGUGCUGCAGUAGCGCCGCACAUCCUUUGAGAUCCCUGGCCACAAGAAGGUCUGGGUGAUCCUGUAAGUUGAACGGUUACCACCGAAAUGUCCUGCCAAGGGGAUAUCAUGGCCAAUUCGGAGAAGUUCCAACCGGUACUUUCUGGGUACCACUAGUUGGCACUUCUGCGAAGGAAUACAACCUCCCUUCCUACCUUCGGUUAAUCUGUACAGCCUGUCGUUAUCCCAUACAAAACAUUCCCGCUCACCCCCCCACUGUCUGCUAGUUCCCGGUACUUUUGGAGGGUUGGGUCCUCUCUAGUUUCCCUCCCAAAUGCUUCUGGGGUAUCCCAAGCUAGAGGUCUCUCUACGGUAUCUGGUCUAAGGGUCGGUUCUUUCCUUACCUGGGUCUCCCGUCCUGGUGUGGGGUCAUCUGUGGCACGAGCUUGUGAACAAGUGGUCACGGGGCAAGCAGCAGCUUGUGGGUAAGUAGGCUGAAGCCAGAGGGCCAAUAUCAUUGCCCAACACGACUUUAGCAGGUAAGUUGCCCAUGAUGCCCACUGUGGUUUUCCCAGCCCCGACCCCCCAGUCCAGAUGUACCCGGGCGGUAGGUAAGCGAAACACAGCUCCCCCGCUACACGUACAGCCACAGUGCGGUUGGACAAAUGUUCCGGCUUGACUAAAUGUCUUUGCAUUAGGGUGAUGGUCGCACCGGUGUCCCUCAAGCCUUAAGCCACUUGACCGGGACAAGUGAUGCUGCCGGUUAUCUGGGGACGUCAUACAAGUGACGCAAUGAUGCUGCCGGUUAUCUGGGGACGCUGUCUGUAUUGGGUCUGCCUCAUAUAGAAUGCCCAUGUAUUCCUCUGGGCCCAUUUCAGUCUCCAGGCAAUGGGCGGCAGAGGUGCGAGGUGAGGUGGCAGAGAUGUGAGGUGAAGCGGUCUCUGCAGGCGGUGAGGUGCGCCUCCAAUUGUUGGCUGCCGAUCCCAAAGGGCAGUAACGGUCGAUGUGUCCGAGGUUGCUGCAGCGAUGGCACGUCAUUCUGGACAAAUCUCGUGGGUAAUUGUUAGACCCCUGAGAGCGAGGCUGUCCUGGAGGGACAGGAGCACGGAACUCUGGCCGAGAGCUGCUAGCUGGGGUACGGUGUUCCAUCCUGCUAGCUGGUCGGUGAGUACUAACUUUCCUUGUUUCGGCGUACUCAUCUGCUAGCCGAGCCGCCUCGUUCAGAUUGGUGGGGCGACAGUCUCAUACCCAGUCUUGUAAAUCGGCCGAUAAAUCCUGAAAGAAACGUUCCAUUAAAAAUAGCUGUAGAACUUCUUCCCGGGGUUGGCAUUGCACCCUCGAACCCAGUGUGAUGCCACUCAUUGGAGCCGGUUGGCCCAUUCCAUGUGGGAGUCUACAGCCUUUUUCUUGGAUUCCCGGAAGCGGCGACGAUAAGCCUCCAGAGUCACGGCAUAUCUGGUUAGUAGCGCCUCUUUGACCCGCUGGUAUUGUAAUAUAUCCUCUGGGGUGAGAGCCCGAAAGGCCUCGUUCGCUUUGCCUGACAGUUUUCCUGAUAAAAUAGUGACCCAUUGCUCUGAAGGCACUUGAUGUAGCGAGCACUGUCUCUCAAAAUCUGCCAAAUAUCCAUCGAUCUCCUCUUCGCUCUCCACAAAUGCUUUAAAUGCAGUGAAAGGUACUUUCUUUGUGGUGGUAGUUGGAGGGGGAGUAGGAACUGUCUGUGUAAUGGGCUGUUGUGCUCUUACCAGUUCGAUUUCGUGCACCCUCCUCUCCCGAAUAUCUGCUUUUGCAUCGAGGAACAGCUGCUCAAUCGGCUCCACUGAUGUCAUUGGGUAGAAGGCUAGUCUCCUCUGCACAAUACGGGCGACCUCGUCCUCCUCGUUGACUGGAGCAAGUGGUUCUGUAACUUCCAUGGACCGAUCCAUUUUGUCCAACUCCAGCAGGUCUGCUAUCAGCUCUCUCCGUGGCCAGUUACGGCACUCCUUCCCCGGCUCUCCAGUAGAUCCUUUAGGGUAGGUCUCUUCAGUUUGGCAUACUGAGACUCCAUCCAGCACCUGCGCUGUGGAUGAAAGGACCAUCCCACCGCUGCCACCAAUGUAACGGCUACCCAGGUAGUAAGAGAGUAUCAGCCGUUGGAGACGUCCUUUUCUUCCUGGCAAGUUGCUGUAUAGUAAUGGAGUCACUUAUUCCCAUCCACUGGAUCCAAGGCAGGAGUCAGGUAGAGCUCUUAAAAGAGCUCAGUGAUUAUGCUGCAGAAUUCCCUUUCAAGAAUGAGACAAGGCUACGUUUUGAAGGGUCAAGAAGAACUGGCUUUUAAUGGCAGGCACUCUCUUUUUAUGUGAUUCUGCCCAUGCAAGGGAGACACCCACAUAAUUAACAACACAACCAAUAAAACAUAAGGUACAUCCCACACAUCUCCUCCCCUCAGAUAAGCUAGUAACACAAUUAACAAGGACACAUUUUUCCCCAAAGAUUGGAUGUACCCCAAAUACUAGAUAGCCCUAUUCUGGGGGACCAACAUAGUAAAAAUUCAGCUCAUUCGGUUCAGCGGUUUGGGAGAUAUGGAGCCUGAAAGUUUUGACCGACCGCACAGGCAAAGUGGCCGAAAACAGUUCCAUGAGUUUUGGCCUUGCGGUCGGUCUUGGUUCAUGCGUAAAAAGUCCCAAACGGCUUGCCAUCCGUGCGUAACCCGACGUUCGCCAGAAUCCCCAUAGGCUAUAAAGUCUUUCUACCGAACGACCUCCCGGUGCUAUGGAGGUCUCAGCGGUGUUCGCCUACUCGAGUGUCCGAUUUUAGUUCCAGACACUUGAUGGCAAAACACAGCUGUUUGGGAGUUAAGAUGGCCACGAACACGUGUAAGUCCCGAAAUGGCGGCCACCCAGGCGCUUCGCAAAGCGUUCAUGGGUUUUCUAUGCGAAGGCACUUGAUGGAUCAGGGAGGUAAAUUACCUAUAAUUAGGAAGCAGGGUGGCCCGGUGUUCGGUAGUUAGCAUUCGUAUGGGGAUGCUUCAAAUGUCCCGAACUGAUGCCUAGCAAAGCCCCAUAAAACAGGUUAAGCUCCUCCAUUUGUUACACCGACCUCUACGAAGAACCUGUUCACGGCCAGAGGUCGUUCUUAAACAGGGGGGUAAUGUCACGGUUCUCGCCGUGACAUCCAGACUGCCAGACGAGAUCAACCCAGAAGUGCCCAACAAGGGAUUUGAACAUGGGUGCUUCAUGGUUCUCAGCCUGUAUUCCUGCCUCUGAGCCACUUCAAUUCUUGGCUUGGCCUGAAACUUAUCCUUGUCAUGUCUCCAGCACUGGGGCUGGAUUGACCUGAGACUGCUCCUGUCACUCAUGGUUCACCUGUGGCUGAUCACUGAUUAGCCAGGUAUAAGACACUGCAUCUCCCUGAGGGCAGUGUCAGUUCAUUGACUCUGGUUCCUGUAUUGAUGUUUGUGUUCCAGUGUUCUCCAGUGUUCUCCAGUUGGCUCCUGACCUUGUUAUUCGUGUAUCCUGACUUCUGGCAUGCUCUGACUUUGGCUUACCCUCAUUUAUCCUGAUUUCUGGCAUCCUCUGACCUUUGGCUUACCCACGACGAUUCUCCUGCUUAUGUCCGUAACAGAACUGCGACUUGGAGCAUUAUCCUGCACAGCCCCUGUGCACAGACUCACAGGCCUGGUGAGUUCUUACCUGACCACCUUGGCCUGUGUUUAAUUGCAAGGGUGAGCAAAUAUCUCUGCAUACCAUACUCCCACUAAGGUAAACCGUUACAGAUUUUGGCCGAGGGACCGAAGAACUGGCGCGAAUGUUGGCCCCUCAGUGACAAGUAAGAGAUUCAAAUGAGUGGCCAUAACUCAUAGCUAUGAGUUGGGCUGAUGGAUGAAUACCUCCGCGUGAGGAUGGGUGUUGGCCUCGCGGGACUGAAUUAUGAACAUACUAGAAAAUGUCUUGCACCAAACCCUUUGCAGCCACUUGAUUUAUCCCUAAGGAAUGUAGGUGAAUAGAAACUUAAUGGAUUGAUAGAAAGUAUGUUGGAGCAUACGUACUUUGCCCAAUAUCAUAAAGAGGAACCUAAUGACACAAUGGGGAUAUGUCCAGGAUGAUGCAAGUGCUAAUUGAGAACGCACCUGUGUUGAUAAGUAAGGAUGGUGGGAACCUAGAACAAUAAGUAUAUACCUAGGCCAAACAAAAUGAGUACGGUAAAGAGAUAGCUGAUUGAACUGAAGCUAUAUAUGAGUUCCCACUGUACGUCCUUCUACUAGAAGGAUCUGAAGUAUGUGUGAGAAGCAUCUCUAGCUUACUAGCUUACUAGUGUGUAGCGAAUUAUGAGAUCUAGUUGAAGGUGGGUUAUACUAAUUUAAGUAAAAUAGACAGAUCAAAGAGAUCUGAAUACCUAUAAUUGCAUAAUGAGGGGCUCUUGUGUGAGCCUAGCGAGGCAGUGUGGAAUAGUAGAAUGUAAUAUGAAGGAUGUCAUACGGUAUCUCUUCCAGGUUCGGCAUUCCGCUAUGCAGAGCCAGCCCCGCCCCCUUCUGACGCGGCUCUCUGACACUACUUAGAGAGACCGCGCCAGAGAGAAAGUGCUUGGUGAUUGUGGGACCUACUUCCGGGUAUAGACGCCGGCUUCACAAGUUUCUCGCACAAGCCUUCCUAAACCUUUGAAGAUUAUGCUUCAUCCGCUAGAGGAUUACUGGAGAACGGACACUUUACCAUUUAACAAGUAGACUGUAAUACCGAUCUCUUGGAGGACAACUCACAUUAUUCUUAAGUAUAACUUCCAAUUCAUUAUCUGGAAUCUCAGUUAUUAAUGAACUGUUUCUUGCUUGCUCAAAUCCUCUCUGCUGCAUACACACUAAUUAUAUUGAGGAUAACUCCCAUCAAGCUUAACCACUAUGAACUGUUUCUUGCUUUGCAAAUAUUCUCUGCUACCUGCAUACUAUUUCUAUUGAAGAUUAUUCCUAUCAACCUAAAGAAUUUUAUUCAAUACAUCUUUGAGGAAAUACUUUUUGAUGAACUUUGUAUUGUUUGCUAUAACCAGCAAUUUCUUCUUAUUGAAUUAUUACCUAUAUGCUUUUCACUUAAGUUUAUCACAAUCAUUAAAACUUUGUUUGAUUCUCUAAUUGCCAGCAAUCCUCUCUUUUCUUAAAGCUAUUGAUAAUUUAAAGAUUCUCAGUUUCUUCACUAUUGUAAUUAAAGAGUUCUACAAGCUGCAGUUGAGUUCCAAUUCUAAAAACCCUAGUAGCAUAACAGAAUCAACAAGCCCAAAAAUGGAACCAGCAGAAGUGAAAAUUAUUUAAAUAGCACAUCAAGGCUUCCAGCCGGUCCCAGGUGCUGCGGCCCACCGAGAAAUUCACUGGUAUUCCUGACACUAUAGUGUUCCUUUAAUUAUAGGAGUGGUUAGUUAAUUUCAACUGUGUGGUUUUCAGUACCUAAAGAAAGGGGGAGAAAAAUUGAGGGCACACCAAGAACAUUAAUUUCUUAUUCAAUUUAUUGAUUCAAUGGAUCUCUAUGAGAAAUGCUGAUUGGUGCAUUGCUGUAUCUUGCGGCGCAAUAGCUUCCCAGUGCUUUCCUAUAGGAAAGCAUGGGAUUGGCUGAGAUUAUCAAGAUGGAGAAUAGGUUAAUUUAAAAGUUUUUAACUGCAUUCUGAGCAGUGCUGGGGACCUAAAUAGCUAGCCCAACUCUAUAGUGUGUAGAUUACGUUUUUAUUCCUAACACUAUAGUGUUCCUUUAACCCCUUUCUAACAUUCAACUCCUUCUUUGCCCUAACCCCUUCUAACAUUAACGUGAACCCUGUCUGCAUUUACACAGCUGCAGACUCUACUCUCUAUGCUCACAGAUUCAAACACAAUAUAUUAAAAGCAGAGAAGAAAUAUGCAUGUACAUUUAGAUAUAUAAAGUUGCAAAUAAUAUGUUUUUUUUAGAUGUUUCUAAACAUUGUCAUACUUACUUUAUCUGCCUUUUGUUUAGGUUGGAAAGCAGGGGGUGCCUUAGAAUGUUGUGCCUACUGGCACCUGGCAUGUAAAUCCAGCCCUGAAGAAGUCCCAGAUGCUGGACCAGUUGGAGGAGUUCUUUUGUGCCCAUAGUUCUGCACCACAGUCUUCUUCAGUCCCAAACAAAUCUAUCCAAAGUUUAUGCAAACCUCUCUGGGGUCUAAGCACUUCAUUGUAUGUCUGUCUAGGGGGCCUAGUAAAUUUAUGGGAGUUGGUGUUGGUACCGUAGUGUGUGUGAGGGGUGAAAUGUCUGAGAGAUGCAAUGUGUGUGAGUGCUGAAGUCUGUGAGUGAGGAGGGCAGUUUGUGUGAGAAGUGCAGUUUGUGUGAGAAGUGCAGUGUAUGUGAAGAGUGCAGUGUGUGUGAAGAGUGCAGUGUCUGUGUGAGGGGUGCAGUGUGUGUGGAACCUGGCUCAAUAAAAACUACCUCCUGCUGGACUGCAAAGAAAAAGGAGAGAGAAUUUAUGGGCGCUCUAACCAGACGGUGAAUAACUGUCCUCAGAAACUGAAGAAUUUACCGGGUAAGAAAUACAACCCUGUUGCUAUGUCUUCUACCCUGGUCACCAUGACUCCUCUCUUAUCUGUCUCUCUUUCCUUUCAGUGGAAUGACAUGCACUAUGAAUGUCAAGCAUUGAUUGAUUCAUGGGCCAGUGGUUGUUUUCUGGACUCAACUCUUGCAUGUUCCCUAUCUAUACCUGUACAGAAUAAAGCCUCUCCAUUGCAAAUACAGCUUGUAGAUAGGUCCUUUUUGCCUUCUGGUCCACACACCAAACAGACCGAACCUAUUCUAGUAAAAAUAGGAAAACACACAGAGACUCUGCCCUUCGAUUUUGCCCCCCUUCACCUCUAUUUCCCGUCAUCUUGGUGAUCCCCUGGCUACAGACACAUGACCUUAUGAUUACACGUUACACUGGAUCCUUGAUGUUCUCUUCACCACAAUGCUCUCAACUUCAUCUGGUAGAUACAACAGUGAAAGGCUUUGUACACUCCAUAUUGGAAGUGAACAUGGAAAAGGGACAAGAAGUCAUCCUUCCUGAGGCCUACCAUACAUAUCGAGAUGUAUUUGAUAAUAGGAUAGUAGAAUAUUUACCUCCCUGCAGAAAAAAACGACUGUCCUAUUGAUCUAUUGCCAGGAGCUCCUAUCCCUUUUGGUAGAGUAUACCUCCUAUCUGAAAAAAGAACUACUAAUCCUUAAAGAGUAUAUUCCCCCGCUGAAGCCGGGAUAUGUUUUGUUGGUAAAGAGUAUGGAAGCUGCAACCCUGUGUGGACUGUAGACAUCUCAAUCACAUCACCAUCUAGAAUAAGUACCCCAUACUCCUUAUUCCAGAACUUAUUGAACGUCUUCAAACAGCACAAAUAUACACCAAACUGGACCUAAAUGGUGCUUUUCAUUUGCUUUAAGUCCGUAAGGGCAAGGCCGGAUUAAUAUAGGGGCUGAUGGAGCUGCAGCCCCAGGCCCAGGCCCAGGCCCAUGGAAUAGGCCCAUUGAUUUAACACACUACUCUUAGGGCUUUCACCUGGCUUUUAUUUUUUUGGCACAGCCAGUAUUUGAGGCUGCCUUUGCCGGUUCCGAUAUUGCAGUCAUACUGGCAAUACAAAUGAUUUUUCUCAGUAUAAACAGAGAUUACAGUGCAAUGGCCAGUAGGGGUCGCCAGGGCCAGACUGGGGAUACAAAGCAGCCCUGGAAAAAAAAAUUGUGCCAGCCCCAUAAGUCACUGCACCAUAUAUUGUCGCGUGUAAUAUGUAAGGCUAUGUCUUGCCAGGACAGAUGAUUGAGUAUAUAUAUAUAUAUAUAUAUAUAUAUAUAUAAAUAUAUAUAUAUAUAUAUAUAUAUUUGUAGUCGGGGACAUAAGCCGUGAAGUGUAAUGAUUAUACCAGAAUAUGGAAGUCGGUUGUGGUGUGCCGAAACCGACGUAUGAGGUAGGCCUGUAAUAAAAGAGGGCCCACCCAAGAAAGGUUAUAGAGGGUUGUGGUGGGAGGGAUGAACCCAGCGAUUCCAGUAUAGAUUUGGCUGGGGCCUGAGCUUUUAUAGCCGGGUAACCCCUCCCACAAUUCCAGGCUACGCCUUACUAUUUGUAGUCGGGGACAUAAGCCGUGAAGUGUAAUGAUUAUACCAGAAUAUGGAAGUCGGUUGUGGUGUGCCGAAACCGACGUAUGGGGUAGGCCUGUAAUAAAAGAGGGCAAAAAGGUAGGAGUAAACAAUUCACUUUAUUAUGCAUGAUUACAUAGCAAGACCUUUGAAUGCGGACCUUAGUUCUAUUUCUGGUUGUGGAAUGUAAGUGGCGUAGACCGCAGAUUUCCAUCGGCCUAAUCUUUUUAUUAUGUGAGAGGGUACGUUGUGACUUGAGGCUGCCGAAGCAGCUCCAAUUCUCAACGAGUGACCAGAAAACCCUGUAGGGUUGAGGCCGAGUCGGAUGAACAAGGUUCUGACGUACUGAAUGAACUUGGCAGUUGUUAAGGGGAAACCUUGUAAUGAUAGUAGUGGGGCGUUUUGACUGAGACCUGUGAGAGUAGCCAAGAAAGUGUCAAAUACUACGACGGGGCACCACUGAUUGCCGGUGGGAUAGUAGCAGAUCUUGGUAGGUGGGCCUAUUUGAUUGGUUUUAGUGUGACCUAGGGUGAGUAUGUAGUGAUCUGUGUGUUUCUGGAGAUUUGUAAUUUUGAGGGGUUGAUUUUGACAUGAACCACUAUUGGUGGUGAACUCGUUUGGUCGUAAAAACCCAUAGAAAGCUAGGUAAGUCGCUGUCUUGAUAACUAGGUUGGUAUGGGUUUCAAAAGGUUUGGAGUCCAAGAUAUUGGAGAGUGCGCGAAACUUGGGACCGUCUAUGGGCAGUCUGGCAGAGGUAGUGGGUGAGUCUAAUCUCAGUAUGCCUUUUAAUAUGUUUUUCACGGGGUAGGAAGACAUGAAGGGUUUAGAACUAGGGUAGGCACUGAUGAUAUGAUGUUGUAUACCCGAGAGAUAUAGUUUAAUGGUGUUCAAUGAUAAUUUUAGGUUAAGGUGGCAGAAAGAAAUAAAUGCAAUAAUGGAAUCUAGAGAAUGAGUGUCAGUUAUCUGAUGCUGUGUCGUGAAUUUGGUGUAUAUGGUAAAAGCUUGAUUGUAUGCACGAGAUGUGUUUGUGGAUAGAGCUGCUCCGGCUAGAUAUCUGCUGUGAGAUAGCAGUCUUUCUAGUCCAGGAUGAGGUCUUGGAAUGGAGGGGUGCUGACUGGUCUGGAGUUGGCUGUGGGGUGUGUCCUGAAGAAGACCUGUAAGUUAAAUCGAGACAAUGCAUCAGCGGCUGUGUUGGUGUUUCCUGGAAUGUGGAUGCAUGUGAUGUGAAACUGUAGUGUUGCCGCUAACCAAGUUAGCCUUCGGAUCAAUUUCAUGAUGGUGAGUGAGGAGGAUCUACCCUUGUUGAUUAUGUCACAGGCUGGUUUGUUGUCGGAAAAGCAUUUUACUGCUUUCCCCCGCCAUAAGUGUCCCCAUACUCUGGCGGCUGCCACAAUCGGGUAGAUCUCGAAUAGGGCAGAUGUAGUGGGAAAUGAGGGCAAACCUAGGGUUUCUACUGGCCAUGAAUCUCUGAACCAGUCAUUGCGAUAGAUUGCUGCAAACCCAGUGUGAGCUGCUGCAUCGGUCCAGAUGACAGGUGAGGAAUCUGAUAAAGGAGUGAUAAACAUGGCUUUCCCAUUCCAAUGAGUUAGGAACCGUAGCCACAUGAGUAGAUCUGCCUUGGCGUGAGCAUCUAGUGAUAACGUGCUGGAGUCAGUAUUGAGUAACGGGAGAAGGCACAACAAUCUUGAGAUGAACGCCCGACCUUGAGGGAUAAUUUUCAUGGCGAAGUUCAGCGUGCCCAAUAAGGAUUGUAGGUCUGACCUGGUACACGUGUCCUUCACCAGAAAAUACUCUAUCAUUUCAAUGAUAUGUUGCACCUUCUCCCGUGGUAGACUAGCCUGUAAUGUGACUGUGUCUAGUUGAAUACCCAAGAACGUAAGUUUUGUGGUAGGGCCUAUUGUCUUUGUUGGAGACAGUGGAACCCCCAACGUUGAAAAUAGGGCCAAGGUCUUCUGGAGACUAUCGUAAGGAAGUCAUCCAGGUAGUGCAGAACUGCGGGACAGUGAGUGAUAUUGAGGAGUAGCCAGCAUAGUGUGUCAGCAAAUAUGUCGAAUAAUUUCGGGCUACUUUUUGCUCCGAAGGUAAGGCGGGUGGCAAAGUAGUAAUUGUUUUCCCAUUUGAUGCCGUGCACAUGCCACAGGGACGGGUGGAUUGGUAAGAGCUUAAAAGCGUUGGAAAUAUCGGUUUUCCCCAACCAGGCUCCCGCACCUGCCCUAAGAAUGGAUUGAAUGGCAUUGUCUACAGAAGUAUAUUGCAGGGAAAACUCUUCUGAAGGUAUCAAUGAAUUGAUGCUGGGGGUAGCUAAAGAAUGAGGAGCGGACAAGUCGUAAAUAAGUCUUUUUUUUUUUUUAUUGUUGGACUUCCCAGUGGCGAUACCUAUAGGGUUGGUACGCCAGCUGGUGAACCGAGGGUGAGCGAAGGGGCCCACGAUAAAGCCGUUAGUCAGUUCGGUCUUGAGCAGUGACUGUGUGGAGAUUGGGUCAAGGAUAGCUGACUGUAAGUUGGGACAUUCGAGAAUACCUGUGGGAAGUGUGACUAGGCCCGUGUGGAAACCCUCAGUGAAGCCUUGAAUGAGGAAGUUGACUAAGUGAAGGGAAGGGUGUGCCUGGAGGUAAAAUGCCAGGUUGUCAAUGCUAACUUCGGUUAGUCAUUGUUUUGGGUACAGACGAUUGGGGCACAUAGUUUUUGAUGUGCCCUGAAGCAAAUUGAGCAGACGUGCAGCAGUCUGCAUGAGCUAAAACCACAACUUCCUGAAUUGAAGUUGUUGCAGAUCUGUGCUUUCCCAAGGUAUACUAUGGGUCUACCCAACUUGUCCUUCAAUCCUCUGUGUUCUGCCGUGGAGGAACCGAAGGUAGCACGACUAGUGGUAGGAAGGUUAGGAUCGACUGGGCACAAGUUGGUGGAGUGUGAGAUGGAGGCGCACAGGGCACAGGAUGGAGGUUUUUGGCAAGCGAAAUGGCGGCAAAAAAGUUCUGUAUCCAGGUUACUCCAGUUGGUAUGAGUGUUAAAUUGAGUUAGGGAUGCUGCUGCCUUGGCCGAAAAGGAUUUAUGAUAAUCAUAGAAGGAAAAACCCCCAUACUUAUGCCCUAGGUCCACCAACUUGUGCAUGUACAAGUCCAACUCCUCCCUACGGUGCGGGGAUGUGGAACAGAUUACGUCACGGUAGAGGCCGAAGGCAAGGACGAAUUCAGGUAUGGUGAGUUUCCGGUUGAGCCUGGGAUCUCUGGCUUUUAGCACAACCGAAAGAUCACCGUAGCAGUACGCCUUGUUUUCCACUACAUCUUGUGAUGCGAUCAGCAGAGAUACAAGGUUUAUGUCCUUGCCUUCUAGAAUGUCUUUGCGUAUUGUCGGGGGUACAAAAUGUGCAGGUGUGAUGAUGUGGGUGGAUGUGCUUGGUAUAGGGUUUAAGGGAGUGUCAUUACCGUGAGGGAGGAGAGACGAAGUGAGGGUUGGUAUGGGUGAGGUGACUGUCGUCAUCUGCGGGGUUUCUAGCUUAUCCAGCCUAGCGCUGAUUGUGGUAAUUGAGGCCAAGAGGGAUGACAUCAGACCCUUGAUCUCGUUGUAGUUUUCCGAAUGCAGAACUACUCCUGGUUGGGGAGUGCACGUGUUAGAUAUGAAAAAUUUGUAUAAUUCGGCUUUGCGGGCUGUAGCUGGAAACGGGACCCCCAUGCGACGUAAUUCGGCUGCGAGCUUGGGGAUGGUCCAUGACCUGAGAGCGUAUGGGCUGGCUGAUUCUAGGUUUUCAGUGGGUGUGCUUGGGCCCGCCGGGGUUGCAGGUCUGGUUGGGGUUUCAGGUAUGGCCAGCUCUUCUUCUUGGUCAUGGGAUUGAGACAUACUAAAAUUGAAAACAGGGUAAGAGACGGAGUUUGAUAAUGAGCGAAGUUGCCUGAGUCAACUGGUGCUAGCUAUGCCAAUAGGCGAAACAUUAACUAUUCUAUGAGGAAGGUGAGGCCCUGCUAGUGCCAAGUGGCGCGAGAGGCUCUAUCUAUGCGGAGGGCCGGUUGGACGGGGACCACUUUAAUGAUGUGGCGGGAACGUUGGCCUCUCGGUGACUGUAACAAGAAAAAGGAUUAAAUUGGCUGUGACUGGUGAGGCCCUAACUGGUAACCAAGGGUGGUUUUCAUGAGGCUCUAUCUAUGCGUUGGGUCGAGGGGCGUAUACCUCCGAUGAGGAUGGGUGUUGGCCUCCAGGAAUCGUUUUAAUUUACAAUAUGUUAGCUAGGGGCCGUACUCUAAAAUCACCAGUUGACCGUCCUAUUUUUUUUUUUUUGAGUCGGGGGGAGUAAUAGUGGUGCGACCGUACCUAUUUGUUUGACGUACGAGAUUCGACGUAGAAUUUGGAGGAUAUUUUAUUUGGAGUCUGUGGAAUAAAACAGGUGGUUAAGGGCGACUAAACUGGUUCGGAACUUGAACGUAAAAUAUAUAUUUUUUUUUUUUUUACCUGGUGAUGCUGUAAAUAAUGGUGCUGUCUAGAUGAUAGCUUGAACGCCAGUUGGGGUAAUAAUCUGAGGAAAAGCUAAAGUUAUCUCUUGUAUUCCCUUAGAUAUACAUACAGGCUUAAGGACAAAGUGAAGCGUAAAUUUAUAAAUCUAAUACCUGUAGUAGGCUAGGGAUGGGUGUCCGAUGCUAGUUCCAAGUAUCAGGGAAGGUGUUGAAAAUGGAUUUUUUGAUGAACCAGAAAUGAAUCCUGAGGAGAUGGCGUAAGGAGUUAAGUAAUGAACCUCAUAUGAAGAACAUGGCAAUGGACAGGACAACCUCUUGUAUGGGGUAGAUUAUUUCUUACCGUAUGAUCAAAGACGGAGUGUGUCUUUGACAGGUAUAUGUCUGAUGAGGUUCAGGUGUUGCCGUUUAGACUGGGUAAGGUUUUAGACAAUACCUGUAUAGGUGACAGGUAACGAAUAUAAGCGUAGGUAAUGUUGGCAAAUAACAUGUGACAGAAUUUAUGGUAUUCAGCGUAUUGUCGUUUUUUUUUUGUUUUUUUUUGCAAGGGAGAAAGGAAGGCGAGGGAAAUAGGAACAGACACUAUUUAAAAGCAUAACAUUGUGUAAAAAUAUGUAUUGCCGUCAGGGGUUGUUCUGAGCAGCCAAUGUGUACCAGAAAACAGAAACAUAUAACAUUUCAAAGAGCAGAAGUAUAUGUACAAUUGUGUUUUUUUUUUUUGUUUUUUGUUUUUUCACCAGGGGGUGUCGUGAGCAGCCAUGCGUAUUGUUAGUAUAGAGGAGAAAAAAAUUUUUUUUUGUAAGUUCAGCCGGGUGGCCCGUUUACCGACCAGCGUUGGAGGGUAAGUGCCAGGGGGAGAAUGUGCCUGUGGAGUGCGGUACCGAACGAAGCCCGGAGCGGUAAGGUAAGUAUGAAUGACAGUCCUUAGUGACAGGUGUGUAAAGUGUGAAUGGACGCCAGGCGUCUGGCUGAGAGUGGUGUGGAUGAGACUCACGGUUCUGGGACCCUGGAGUAGGUAUGUUUCCUGUUCCUGAAACCGCCGUGGGUAUGGCUGAGGAGGAUGGGAGUUCGCCGGGACCCCGAUAGUAAGCUGGACUGGAGCGCUUGAUGCCGGGCACGGAGACCGCCGGGCUUGUACCGAACAGGGUUAGCAGGGGGCACUUCGACUGGAGCGGACCACGUGGGAGCGAUAUGUCGGUGAGUUUGAACCGGAAGUUCAAAGGUUCUGGAUGAACCCAGCGAUUCCAGUAUAGAUUUGGCUGGGGCCUGAGCUUUUAUAGCCUGGUAACCCCUCCCACAAUUCCAGGCUACGCCUUACUAUAUAUAUAUAUCUUUUUCUAAUAUAAAAUAUUGGUCCUUUCAGGGUAAAACGUUUAAUUAUACAGUAAGCAUACUCACAUGCAGACACAGGCAAUUUCACUGACAUCUCAAUGACACACACAAGCUCAUUGAUACACAGCCUCAUAGACAAACAAUCUUACUGAUAUACAUCAGCUCAUUGACAUAAAAACACAAGCUCACUCACUAGCAGGCACACGCAUGCAAGCAAGCUCACUCACUAGCAGACGCACACACACAGCUUAAUGUGGUGGUACUGGUGUCUAUAGCAUGUCCCUACAGGCUUUUCAACGUAAACACUGACUUUUCAGAGAAAAGGCAGUGUUUACAUUGCUUCAAAGUGACACUGCUAGUGACAGUCACUCAGACGGUCACUAGAGGUGCUUCCUGUGUUAGUGCACCUACAUUCAGGGCCUCCACACUCUGUAGGUGCUGAAUGUUCCCCAUAGAGAUACAUUGAUUCAAUGCAUCUCUAUGAGGAGAUACUGAUUGGAGUGGCGUUUUGCAGCCAAUCCUAUGGCAAAGCAUUGGAUUGGUUGAGAUCAUCAAGCUUGAUGAUCUCAGCUAUAGAGGCAGGGCCAGUCGAGGGGAGACCAGCACCAUGACAGACCAUGACACAGACAGACACACACACCAUGACACAGACACACACACCAUGACUGACAGACAGACACACACACCCCAUGACGGACAUACAGACACACACACACCCCAUGACGGACAGACAGACACACACACACUCCAUGACGGACAGACAGACACCCACACACCCCAUGACGGACAGACAGACACACACACCCCAUGACGGACAGACACACAGACACACACACCAUACAGACAGACACCAUGACACAGACAGACAGACACACACACACACCAUACAGACAAACACCAUGACACAGACAGACACACACACACACCAUACAGACAGACACACACACACCAUACAGACACCAUGACACAGACAGACAGACACACACACACACACCAUACAGACAGACACCAUGACACAGACAGACAGACAGACACACACACACCAUACAGACAGACACCAUGACACAGACAGACACACACCAUACAGACAGACAGACACACCAUAACACAGACAGACAGACACAUUACUAAUACCUGCCAGGGGGAGGUCUUCUGGAUGCCGCUGGGGGACUUGUCCUGGCGGCCCCUGGGGGAGAUGCGCUGGCUCUGCUCUCCCACCCUCGCGCGCUGCUGAAUGAGACCGGCGCUGGAAUAUGACGUCAUAUUCCGACGCCAGUCUCAUUCAGCUGCGAGCUGGAGAGCAGAGCCAGCGCAUCUCCCCCCAGCGGCCGCCAGGACAAGUCCCCCAGCGGCCUCCAGAAGCCCCCAGAAGACCUCCCCAGUGGCCUCCAGCAGACCCAGGUGUCUGCCCGGCCCCAGGUGCCGACGGCCCACCGGGAAAUUUCCCGGUAUCCCGGUGGGCUAGUCCGGCCCUGGGGGUCGCUUUGUGUGUGGAGAGAGGCAGGGAUAGGAAGUUCCAGCACAUUCCUCCCUGCCUAUCUCUACUCACUGAUCUGCAGGGGAGCAGCUACAGAGAGUCCAGACAGCAACUCCCACCCUGCAGAGACAGCCUACAGCUCAUGCAAGUGAGGGAUGGGGGGAAAGGUUUAAAGGAGACAUGGGGACACAUAGAUACUAAGGGACAUUGGCAGACAUUAUGACAGACACUUGGGGGCACUGGGAGACAUGGGGACACUGAGACACUAAGGGACAUUGGGAGACAUUAUGACACAGACACUUGGGGACAAAGAGACACAUGGGGACACAGUGUCCCCAUGUCUCCCAGUGUCCGUAUGUCUCCCAGCCAGUGUCCCAGGUGUCUCAGUGUCCCCAUGUCUACCAAUGCCCCCUAGUCUCCCAGUGUCUGUGUCCCCAUGUCUCCCAGUGCCUCAAAUGUCUCAAUGUCCCCAUGUCUCCCAGCUAGUGUCCCUAGUGUCUGUGUCCCUGGUGUCUGUGUCCACAUGUCUUCAAGUGUCCCCUAUUUUCCCAGUGUCCCCAUGUGUCCCAGCCAGUGUCCCCUAGUCUCCCAGUGUCCCUGGUGUCUCUGUGUUACCAAGUCUCCACGUGUCCCCAGGUCUUCCCAUGUUCCUAGUGUCCUAGUGACAUGGGGACCCUGGGAGACAUGGGGAAAUAGACACAAGUGAAUACUAGGGGACACAGGGAGACACGGGGCAUUGAGACACUGUGAAACAUAAGGUCACUGGGAGACCUGGUGACACUGGGAGACUAGGGGACACUAGGACAGUGGGAGACUAUACAGCAGUAUCAAACCAAGUAGUUUUUGGUGAUUUUACAGCAUUUUCUCUUAUGUCACUCCUUGUGAUUUACAUCAUGUGAUGUCACCCAUACAUAAUUAAUUAUGCAAAUUAGUAAGGCCGGUAUGUUUUUCCAAGAAAGGUGGCAACCCUAACUACUUUUCACAUACUCUUGCUUAAGUAUGGAAACUUAAGAGGGAUGUAUGGGAACAAAACUUGUGUGGCCAAUGAAAUGAGUUAAGGUAAUGCUGACUUUGGUCUCUCUAAUACUGUGGUAUGUUCCCUUUCUUCUACACUCACUACAUACAGCUUUUCUCUGUCUCAGACUGUAUACCAGGAGCUUCUGCCUGCUAGUAAGAAGGUAAAGAGACAAGUGGACCAGCGAGUGCUAGGGGACUGUCCUUAGAAAGCGUUGAGCGAGCGCAUCGUUAGAUGCAUUUAUGCCAAGCUCAGGGUGCUGUCUGCAUAGUAUGCCCUUAGUUGGCCAGCUUGCAUGAUUGGCAGGCAGCCUGACUUGCAUUCAUGCCAGGCUGGCCUUCCAAUUCUUUGGGCAUGUUCGCCCCUUUUGGCAGGUUACGUGAUUUGUGUCAGUGGCACACCCUUUUACUGCGCCCAUUGACUACCUGCUUAACUGGACACUGCUGUUUUGGGUUAUGGAUUUACUUGAAAGAUGAAAACAUAAAUUAGAGAGAGAUUAGCAUAGGGUAUGUGUUUUCUUAUAGCUGCUGUUUUUUUCCCUCAAGCACCAUCUCCAUCAGAUACAUGACACUUGGGAGUGUUUUAGUGUUUUUUGGUCGAUACGGUUCUGUAAUUAGGCCCAUCAUAAUUGUCAGCACCAGGGCUGUUAAUCUGGCCCUGCAUAAGGGAGAUGAGUGGAAAACAGCAUUUUGUUCCUGCUAAGGUCACCACAAAUAUGGUCAUGCCUUAUGGGCUGUGUAAUGCCCCUGCCUCCUUUUCGCAUUUUCUCAGUGACAUAUUCUGUGAUCUCCUUGACCAAUAUGUGGUCAUUUAAUUAGAUGAUAUUUGCAUACUCCUCUUCUCCAUGUCAUUUAAGUGUUGAAACGUUUACGAAAAAACAAUCUAUAUGCAAAAACGGAAAAAGAAUAUUUGCAACAGAGUGUGUGGAAUUUUUGGGCUCGUUCAUCAAACCAGGCAAAGUUGAAAUGGAUCCUCGAAAAGUGACCACCAUCCUUACAUGGCCCAUAUCCCAAAUCAAGAAACAAAUCAAUGAUUUGUGGGAUUUGCUCAUUUUUAUCAGAAAUUCAUCAGUAACUUUUCCAAAGUAAUCCAACCUCUCACUCAUCUUACCAAGAAAAAAACACAAUGGAACUGGACUCCAAAAGAACAGAAAGCAUUUGAUGAUCUAAAGGUCCUAUUCCCCACUGCAACUAUCCUUCAUUUACCUGAUACAGAAAAAUCUUACUUCCUGGAAGUUGAUGCAUCUAACUCGGUUAUUUGGGCAGUAUUAUUACAGAGAGACAGUUCAACUGGACAAUUGCAACCCAUAGCCUUUUACUGUCAUAAGUUGACCGAGGCAGAAUCUAAUUACGAUGUAGGAGAUAAAGAAUUACUGACUAUUAAAACAGCACUCGAAGAAUGGAGACAUCUACUGGAAGGGGCUAAAUACACCAUAAUUAUUUAUACCGAUCAUAAAAACUUGGAAAACGUCCAAACUGCUAAACGUCUCAAUCAAGCAAGGUGGGCGCUGUUCUUUUUGCGUUUUUCAUUUCUUAUCACCUACCGUCCUGGAUCAAAAAACUUAAAGGCUGAUGCUCUCUCCAGAAUUCACACAACUGACAGUUGUUGAAAAUCAAAACAGAAUGAAACCAUCCUACAGAAUCAUCACUUCGUUGGCCUCAUGUCUCAUAUCUUACAAGAAAUCCAAAAUACUACCCCUUCCAAUAAACUCCUGAAGUAAUAAUAUUGGGAAUUGACUGAUCACUACUGAGCAAAUUUGAAAUUAAUUUAAGUAGAUAGACAAGAUGGUGCUGGUCUCAUAAGCACAGACAGGCAGUGCACUAGACACAGGUCUGGAUGUGGCAGUUAAUAAUUAAGCUGACAGGAAUGACACAGCAUAAAACUGUGUAAAGUCAUAAAACACAGCAUCAGCAUGGCUCGACAUUGAGGGGCUGCGUACCAUCAUGAAAAUAGUAUAGUGCUAGACGAUAGAUAAGAGAUAAGCUAACCGCACAGACAUGACAUGACGUCUUUGGUGGGUCUUAUCAACCUGAUCAGCAGCCAGCCCCAUCCAACGUGUUUGACAGGUCUUUGUUGGGCUACACUGAUAAGAGAAUCUAAGGAGGACAUGUUCAGACUGCCCAUCCUUGUAAAAGGUAUAGAAGACGGGUCAACCUGACACUCAGAUGAGAGCUACCAACCUGCAUCGCAGACACAUGGUCCAGGUCCUCUGCUGUUUCCCAGCAGAGCAGGUCCCUCUUGCCUGACUGUCCAAGUUCUCCCAGUCGUGUGCAGUGAGACAAUGAACUACUCCUAUGGUGAUUUUAAGCUGAUACUUAAGCUGAUAUUGAUAUAUCAAGCUGAUUGACCAUUAAGCUGAAUGCAUGCACAAUUAAUAACCAAUAGAUGCAUUUUAAGAUUAGAGUGAUUUGGAUACAGCGUAUUCAAUAAAGUAUGAUGUUAAUUCUUAACUACUUCUUGGUUUCUUUGUAAUUUCAUUUGCCUAUUACUCAACCUCCUCAUCACGAAUAGGGAAGUGUGCCCGUCAGUAUCGCUACAGACCAUAUUAGGUGCUUAUUAGGCCUCAUUGGGUACUGAUGUUCACAAAUUUGGGGAUUAGGCACAACAACUCCCCAUUUCAUCUGAAGGCUAUCCUUUAUCAAAUUGGAAAAUCUAUGGGUACCGGAGAAAAAACGUCUGAGCGUACUGUACUACUUUCAUUACUCUCUUUUGGCUGGCCAUGGGGGACAAUGAAAACCACUUCAAAGCAUCCAACGACAAUUCUGAUGGCCCUCUCUCCAACAUGACAUCAACGAUUAUGUUGGAUAAUGCACAACUUGUGCUCGUGCUAAAGGUCACACAUCUAAAAUAGCUGGCUUACUACAACCCUUACCAGUACCAUCUAGACCCUGGAGCCAUCUUACAAUUGACUUCAUUGUAGAACUGCCACCAUCAUAAGGAUAUAAUACUAUUAUGGUUGUAGAUGAUCGCCUGGCAAAAAUGGCACACUUGAUUACUGCGAAAGGACUCCCUACUGCUAAACAAACUGCCUCUCUUUUCCUUGAUAAUAUCUUCCAACUACAUGGGGUACCCGAAUCUUUUCUCUCGGAUAGAGGAACACAAUUUACUUUCCGUUUCUGGAGAGCGUUUUGUCAAUCUCUCAAGAUUCCAGUAGACCUUUUGAUUGCCUUUCAUCCCCAAUCAAACGGACAAACUGAAAAGACAAAUCAAACUCUAGAAACAUAUCUCUGCUGCUUCUGUACCCACUUACAAUUUGAUUGGAAAAAUGUGCUCACUACAGCUGAGUUCGCUUACAACUCCAAGCAGUAUGGUUCCACCCACAGUUCUCCUUUCAUGUUAAACUAUGGUUUCCAUACAAAUACUCUUCCCGGGAGUCCUUCCCUCACUCCAGUUCCAGAUGUCACUGCUCACUUACAACAAUUUACACAAAGAUUCCAACAAGCUCAACAAAUAUUACAGGAAAACCAACGAAUAUACAAAAAAUAUGCUAGUCUCAAAAGAACAACACCCCCUGUAUACAAGGAGAAUCAACUUGUUUGGCCACGAAACAUCUAAAAUUAUCUUGUCCAACCAAAAAGUUAGGUCCCAGAUACAUAGGACCUUUGUAUUCCCAAACUUAUUUGCCUGUUGUAGUACGUUUUGAACUACCACAUCAGUGCCAUAUUCAUCCUUCUUUUCACGUUUCACUAAUUAAGCCUGUUAAAGAAAACCCUUUUCCUACCCGAGACAUACCACCACCCAAUCCCGUCAUGAUAGACAGUGAAGCUGAAUAUAAAGUAGAAGAAAUUAUGGAUUCAUGAAGACGAAGAGGGAAUUUGGAAUACCUCAUCCAUUUAAAGGGCUAUGGUCCUGAGCAGAGAUCCUGGGAACCUGCAAAGAAUGUACACGUCCUUUCAUUCUUCACAUCCAGAUUGUCCAGCACCCUAAUUGUGGAGACAUGCGGCAUCAUAGAGGGGGGCUACUGACACGGCCACACCUACCUGUAGGUCACUUACCACAUCUCCGCCCACGGCUAAGGCAAUCUCCUCUCAGUACACGCCAAGGACUCCAGCUUGCCUAGCGACGUGUGCAGUCAACCGGCAUCCCUGCAAACACAUAGACGCAGUACCACAGCUCUCCACAACAUGCGGUGAUCCGCUUGAAGUCCCAGCCAAAACCAUGUGUAAUUUCACUUUCACUAGGCACAUGCGCCUGAACGCUGGCCUCUUAAAGGGACAGUACUCCUGAACACCUGAAAUAGUUUAAAGGACUAAUCACUUUUUAACCAACAGAAUGUGAGAGAUGGAUAAUCUCAGUCUACCUCUACCUCAUUGCUCAGUAAUACAGUGCUUACUGUGGUGUUAACUUCAGUGUGCCUAUCCUGCCUUGUUUGAUUUAUCUGGUACCUGAUCCUACACCUGUUUAAUCAUCUCUAAACCCAUGCCGCUUGACCUGACCCCUGGCUUUCCUCAACUACGACACUGGUUUUCCCUUUGAUACUUUGUCUUGGCUGAUAACCAUAGGCAAUCAGCCUGUGCAAAAUGAAUGAAUUUGGACCAAUAUGGGUCAAUGCAUAAUUAGAGUCUUCAUAUUGCAUCAAUAAUGACAUACGAUACCCACUAUCUAAGGCUUCUUUAAAGUCCAUUCUGGUGACAUCCUCUGGACUUUGUCAGGGACCUCUUUUUGCAGCGUAUAUAUCAGCACGCCCCAAUCCUAGAGUUGACGUCGGCCUCUCACUGGAGGCGUGAUGGAGUGCGGGGUGCUUUGAUGAUGGGCAAGAAGCUUUUCUGGUGUCCCCAUUGGUACUGCAUAUUGUUGGCAGAGGGCUGAGGUAAUGGGUGACAUGGUCAAUGGAUAGGUCCGCAAUUGCUUUAAUAGUGGUGUAAGGUUCAGGCAGGGUUGAUUUCCUAGCUGUAACCUGUAACUGUAGCUGUAACCACGCUUCUGAUAUACAAUGGCAGCCUUUGACUGAUUCUUAUGAAUCCUUGUAGGCAUCAGUAGGAAUCCCACCAGGGGUGCUAGGAGCUUAAUCGUGGUUUACAAAGAGUUUAUGCUGGCUCUAUAAUGAGAGUCAGGGCCUGUGGGCGGCAUCUUGACACUUCCAGCAUGAAUGCUCUCAGUGUGCUGGUACUUACCACAGAGUCAAGUGUUUUUGUAAGCUGAGUAACUUCCCACCAAGGUGGUCCCCAUAGAGGAAUGUCCCCAUGGCCUGAACUCUGUUAAGCCUCCCAUGGAUGCUUCUAUGGCUAGAUAGGUAUGGAUACAGAGCUCUUAUUUUGGGGGUGGUGUCGCCUUUGUGUCACAACUGCUAGUGUGGUCCAGCACGCAGAACUAUGUAACAUCUACAUAGACAGAACAGAAAAUGAUAGAACGUAAACCGGUCCUUAGAAUGGCCCGACUAAUACGUUAAAGACAAAAAAUGGUUAAGGGAUAGUCGAGGUCAAGGAAGCCAGAAAUACACAAUACUGUUAAACAAGCAAGUCAGGGAAGCCAGAAAUCAGAGUAGUCAGGAAUAGCCAAGGUCAAAAUACCGGAAUAGCAAUAACAGGAAAAGAAAAUGCACUCUCGGGAACCAGGACAGGAAACCACAACAGGGCAAAGAACUGGAAAGCUUAAGGGAUUUAAAUAUCCCUCCUUAGACUGUAAAUGGUUAGACGUGUGUGUUGGCGUUGUGACGUCACACACACGUUCGUGUAACCCUGCGGGGCGGAGUCAUCGAUAGCCGCGACCGCAUGGUCGGUGCCAUCUUUAUUUCGGGCAGGCUGCCAGGAAGACCCGGUGGAGCGGCUCCCGACUCAACGCUGAGCAGGUAAGCUCAGUCUGUCGUGCCAGUCGGGUGCGAUCGCACCUCGCGGCAAGCCGGGGGCUGUGACACUUUGCCUGGUGUUGGUGGGGUUCAGUGAGGACAUUUCUAAGGUUUCCUUAGCAAUUUUGAGGAUCCCCUAUUUUCCAACCUUUAAGAUUAGAUCCCAAGAAGUCCCCCGGUUUCCACCUAUAUGGAUUUAUAUACCAGAGGUCCAGUGGAUUUAUAUACCAGAGGCUGUGUAUUGCUAAAUAAGUAUUCAGAUAGUCACAGCUAGUUAGUAAUAAGAGAAAAGAAAUAGGUUCUAGUGUCAGUAAAAUACUGGCAUAAAGUUAAACUGUUACAAAGAUUCUCUCCCUGUUAAUCUUACUAAAUAAACAUAGGAAAAAGUAGAGGUGAAAAUAAAUAUUUAAAGUACCAUGCUAAAUCAAAAGUGAAUCAAAAUCAAAGUGAGAAAGUGAACACUAAAAGCUUCAAACGCCGACGAUCGUUUUGGAGCAAUGCUACAUGCACCUUUGUUAGGGGCGUUUCUCCAUUAUAUGAGGAAUUUAUCCCUUUAGUGUAUUGGCAGAUUGACAAUAGAGGUGUCUAACCACCUAUAUUCAGAUACCACCCAUACCAUACUUCUGGACCACUGAGACGCAGCCCGUUUGUGUUGGGUCACAGUAGGUUCAUAUUGAUUAUAUUUUCUGCAUAAUCCUACAAAGAAACUAUUCAAAUACCACCCAUACCAUUCCUGGUUCUUAUACUCAACUAGAGCCAUUUUAAUAAAGCUCUUUUUAAAUCAUUUUUAACCAGGAAGGAGAUUGAGUCUAUGAUCAGAGUCUCUUUUCUAUACAUAGGAGUUAACCUUAUAAGGUUGUGAUUGCACUGACUGGAUGUACUCUAUAGCUUCCUAAUCUCUAGAUACCUACCCUUACUUUAGUUCACAUUUUUCCCUAUAAUACCUACAACUGACCACUAUAUAUUUUCAAGUAGGGGAUCCAGGGCCUGCAUAUAUUCUACUGCAUAUCUGACUACUAUAUUUCCAAGUAGGGGAUCAUGUGUACCUGCAUAUCUUCUUUUUAUUUGUAACUCUCUGUGUAGGAUUAGCCUACCUGAAAUGGCCAUCAAUAUGAGAGGCUACUAGAGGCACUUCUGUGAAAUAACAAAUUGUCUCAGAGUUUGGCUCAGCAUGUGCCUUAGCCUCUAUUGCUUUCAUAUGGAAAAGCAUUGGAUUGGAUGAGAUCAUUAAUAAAUCUCAGCAAAAUAGGUGGACUUUGAGCAAGGAGACCAGCGCUGCGAGUGAUAAUAAUUAAGUACACAACCGUUCCAAACCCUGGCAGCACUUGCCUUGUGACCUAAACGUGACUAUGGCACUAUAGCAUUAGAAUCCAUAUUUGUUCAGUUUGACUAGAAGUAUCUACCAGUCUUUUUCACUAAAUUCAAAGGUUGUUAAAGGGUUUUUAUUAUGUUUACUUAUCCCCAUAUUUUUACAAAAACACUUGUGAUGUGUGCCCUGGGAAAUGUUGUGUUUUAUUGCAGAUGAUUUAAUCUGUGUGUUUAGGGGAUGUAGUAUAUGUGUAUAGGAGAUGCAGUGUGAAUAGAGGAUGCAGAGUGUAUGUGUGUAAGGAAUACAUGCAGUGUGUGCUUCUUAGUAAGGUAUGCAGUUUGUGUGUGUGGGUAAGGGAUGCACUGUGUAUUUCUGUGUGGGUAAGGGACACAGUGUGUGUUAUUGUUUGUCUGUAAGGGACAGGGCCGCCAUCAGGGCAUGACAACCGUGACAAUUGUCACGGGCCCGGCGGCCCUGGGGGGCCCGGCCCCCACGUGGAUCAGCGGAACUGCCGCCGGUGCAUCUGCACCGGGGCCCACACGCUGAUGCGGCCCAUCAGGUGGCCCCAAUCAUUUAGGGCCACCCAAUGGGCCCUAUUAUCUUCAGGGGCCCGUUUAGCGCUGUAAUAGCGCGACCGGGCCCCUUUAAAAAAUAAAUAAAAUGCAGCCGGAAGCAAGUGCUGCUGGGAGGAAGUGACGUCCGGUCACUUCCUCCCACUUUACUCCGCGCGGGAAGGAGGACGCAGCAUGAGGAGAGGCAGCCGAUGCCCAUCAUCCCCAGCCACCCUCCUGCGACGAAAUGGUAAGGAAGAGAGGAGGGUGGCUGGGGAUGAAGUGUAUGUGUGUAUGCCAGUGUAUGUGUGUGUGUGUAUGCCAGUGUAUGUGUGUAUGUAUGCUGGUGUAUGAAUGCCAGUGUGUGUGUGUGUAUGCCAGUGUCUGAAUGCCAGUGUAUGUGUGUCUGAAUGCCAGUGUGUGUAUGCCAGUGUGUGUAUGCCAGUGUAUGUGUGUGCCAGUGUAUGUGUGUAUGAAUGCCAGUGUGUGUAUGCCAGUGUAUGUGUGUGCCAGUGUGUGUGUAUGAAUGCCAGUGUGUGUAUGCCAGUGUAUGUGUGUGCCAGUGUGUGUGUAUGAAUGCCAGUGUGUGUAUGUGUAUGUGUAUGCUGGUGUAUGAAUGCCAGUGUAUGUGUGUAUGCCAGUGUCUGAAUGCCAGUGUGUGUGUGUGUGUGUGUAUGCUGGUGUAUGAAUGCCAGUGUAUGUGUGUGUAUGCCAGUGUCUGAAUGCCAGUGUGUGUAUGCCAGUGUAUGUGUGUGUGUAUGCUGUGUGUAUGAAUGCCAGUGUGUGUAUGCCAGUGUAUGUGUGUGUGUAUGCUGGUGUAUGAAUGCCAGUGUAUGUGUGUGUAUGCCAGUGUCUGAAUGCCAGUGUGUGUCUGAAUGCCAGUGUAUGAAUGCCAGUGUGUGUAUGCCAGUGUAUGUGUGUGUGUAUGCUGGUGUAUGAAUGCCAGUGUAUGUGUGUGUAUGCCAGUGUCUGAAUGCCAGUGUAUGUGUGUCUGAAUGCCAGUGUAUGAAUGCCAGUGUAUGAAUGCCAGUGUGUGUAUGCCAGUGUAUGUGUGUAUGAAUGCCAGUGUAUGUGUGUAUGAAUGCCAGUGUAUGUGUGUGUGUAUGCUGGUGUAUGAAUGCCAGUGUAUGUGUGAUGCCAGUGUCUGAAUGCCAGUGUAUGUGUAUGUAUGCCAGUGUGUGUAUGCCAUUGUGUAUGCCAGUGUAUGUGUGUGCCAGUGUGUAUGCCGGUGUAUGAAUGCCAGUGUAUGCCAGUGUGUGUAUGCCAGUGUAUGUGUGUAUGAAUGCCAGUGUAUGUGUGUAUGUAUGCCAGUGUGUGGAUGCCAGUGUAUGUGUAUGUAUGUAUGCCAGUGUAUGAAUGCCAGUGUAUGUGUGUGUAUGCCAGUGCCAGUGUGUGUAUGUAUGCCCAUGUAUGCCAGUGUAUGUGUGUGUGUAUGUAUGCCAGUGCGUGUAUGCCAGUGUGUGUCUGUAUGCAUGCCUGUGUGUGUCUGUAUGUAUGUAUGUAUAUGCCUGUCGGUAUGUAUGUAUAUAUCAAUAUGCAGUAUGUAUAUGUAUGUUUGUCAGUAUGUAUGUCUGCUUGUAUAUGUGUGUGUGUCUCAGCAUCUCCCUAUGCAUGUGUGUAUGUCUGUUUCAGUAUUUGUAUCUGUUAGAGUGUGUGUGUUCCUGUGGGCGGGAUUUGGAGGCAGGCUUGAAGGGGGGCCCAGACCUUGAGCUGUGUUAGGGGCCCCAAAAUUUGUGUGUGUAUGUAUGCCAGUGCGUGUCUGUAUGCAUGCCUGUGUGUGUCUGUAUGUAUGUAUGUAUGCCUGUCGGUAUGUAUGUAUAUAUCAAUAUGCAGUAUGUAUAUGUAUGUUUGUCAGUAUGUAUGUCUGCUUGUAUAUGUGUGUGUGUCUCAGCAUCUCCCUAUGCAUGUGUGUAUGUCUGUUUCAGUAUUUGUAUCUGUUAGUGUGUGUGUAUUCCUGUGGGCGGGAUUUGGAGGCAGGCUUGAAGGGGGGCCCAGACCUUGAGCUGUGUUAGGGGCCCCAAAAUUUCUGAUGGCGGCCCUGGUAAGGGAUACAUUGUGUGAUUAUAUGUGUGUGCAAGGGAUGCAUUGUGUGAUUCUAUGUAUGUGUAAGGAAUGCAUUGUAUAUGUAUGUGUGUGUGUGUGUGUGUGUGUGUGUAAGGGAUGCAUACUGUGUUUCUACGUGUAAGGGAUUCAUUGUGUGUUUCUGUGUAAGGGAUGUAUUGUUUGUUUCUGAAUGCGUAAGGGCUGCAUGUCUUUCUAUGUGCAGUUUGUGUAAGGGUAGGAUAAGGCUGAGUUUUGUGGAGGAUGAGAGCAGCUUUUUAUUUUUAUUUUAAUAUUAUUUGCUGAGCCGUCUAUAAUAGUAAUAGGACCCUGGCCCCAGGGCUGGAUUAACAUAGGGGCUGAUGUCAUCCAUACAUAUUUAAUUAUGCAAAUUAGUAAGGCCGGUAUGUUUUUCCAAGAAAGGUGGCAACCCUAACUACUUUUCACAUACUCUUACUUAAGUAUGGAAACUUAAGAGGGAUGUAUGGGAACAAAACUUGUGAGGACUGGCUGACAAUGAAUAUAGUUAAAGGGACACUAUAGUCACAAAAACAACUACGGCUUAUUGAAUUUGUUCUGGUUAGUAGAAUCAUUACCUUCAGGCUUUUUGCUGUAAACACUGUCUUUUCAGAGAAAAUGCAGUUUUUAAAUUACAGCCUAGUGAUAACUUCACUGGCCACUCCUUGGAUGGCUGUUAGAGAUCCUUCCUGGGUCAUGGCUGCCUAAAAUACAUCCAAACAUUCAGUGUCUCCUCCCUCUGCAUGCAGACACUGAACUUUCCUCAUAGAGAUUAAUUUAUUCAAUUCAUCUCUAUGAGGAGAUGCUGAUUGUCCAGGGCUGUGUUUGAAUCAUGCUGGCUCUGCCCCUGAUCUGCCUCUUUGUUAGUCUCAGCCAAUCCUAUGGGGAAGCACUGUGAUUGGAUCAGGCCACCACUUCUAAUGAUGUAACUCUGCAUAAGUCUAACAGCAUGCAGACUUACAGCUGCAGGCUUGAAUACAGUAAGAUUUUUACUAUAUUUAUGGAGGCAUGAGGGGCCCAGGGGGGUUAGAUGGUGGUGUUAACAGUAUAGGGUCAGGAAUUCAUGUUUGUGUUCCUGACCCUAUAGUGAUCUUUUAAGGUAAUGCUGACUUUGGUCUCUCUAACACUGUGGCAUGUUCCCUUUCUUCUACACUCACUACAUACAGCUUUUCUCUGUCCCAGACUAUAUACCAGGAGCGUCUGCCUGCUAGUAAGAAGGUAAGGAGAAAGUGGACCAGCGAGUGCUAGGGGACAGUCCUUUAGAAAGCGUUGAGCGAGCGCAUCAUUAGAUGCAUUUAUGCCAAGCUCAGGGUGCUGUCUGCAUAGUAUGCCCUUAGUUGGCCAGCUGCAUGAUUGGCAGGCAGUCUGACAUGCAUUCAUGCCAGGCUGGCCUUCAAAUUCUUUGGGCAGACAUGUCCUCUUUUUGGGCAUGUUCGCCCCUUUUGGCAGGUUACGUGAUUUGUGUCAGUGGCACACCCUUUUACCAUGCCCAUUGACUUCCUGCUUGUCUGGACACUGCUGUUAGGGGUUAUGGAUUUACUUGAAAGAUGAAAACAUAAAUUAGAGAUAGAUUAGCCUAAGGUAUGUGUUUUCUUAUAGCUGCUGUUUUCUUUCUCUCCAGCACCAUCUCCAUCAGAUACAUGACGCUUGGGAGUGUUUUAGUGUUUUUGGUCAAUAUGAUUCUUUAAUUAGGCCCGUCAUAAUUGUCAGCACCAGGCCCACUGGGCUGUUAAUCUGGCCCUGCCUGGCCCCCUGGACUCUGCCCCCCCACCAGCCUCUACUCCCUGGCAUGCAAUCACACUUUUCACCCUAACGCAGUGGGGGGAACUAAAGUAGAGAGGUGCAAGACAUACUUAUACAAUCAUAUACACUGACAGACAUACUGAUACAUACACACACAGACAAACAUACUGACACAUAUAUUCACUGACAGAUAUUUUAAAACACAGACGCACUGACACACACAUAUACUGACAGACAUACUGACACACACACACACUGACAGACAUGCUGACACAUGUAUUGACACACACACUAACAGACAUACUGACACACAUUCACACACGUUUACAGAAACAUCCAUUGACACAUACUGACACACACAGAAACAUCCACUGACAAACACGACACAUAACUAACAGACAUACUGACACACACACUGACAGAGAUACUGACACACGCAUAGACUGACACAGACACUGACAGGCAUACUGACAGACAUACAGAAAGACAUACAGACACACAGACACAUAACUGACAGACAUACUGACACACACAGACACAUAACUGACUGACAUACUGACACACAUACACACACACUGACAGACAUACUGACACACACAGAAACAUACACUGUCAGACAUACUGACACACAAAGACAGACAUACUGACACACACACACACUGACAGACAUACUGACACACACAGACACAACUGACAGACAUACUGACACACACAUACACUGACAGACAUAUUGACACACACAGACACAUAACUGACAGACAUACUGACACACAUUCACACACGUUUAAACCUACAAUCCCGUUACCAAACUUGAACAGUGCUUUUCCUGGUGUCCAGAGUGGUGGCUGAGGCUGUUGUGAGUUAGGGAUGGCGCUCCUGGCAGCUGCUUUGGGGCCCCUCGGAGUAGGGAUCGACCGAUUAUCGGUAUCGUCCUAUAGAGAUACCAAUAUUGUUGAUAAUACAUGCUAGGACCGCCAGGCCCAUUACAAGCCCAGCGGUCCUGGGGGGCUCAGCAAGCUUUUACUUACCUUCCCAGCAGCUCCCUUCAGCUCCCCUAUGUAAAUCUUGUGAGUUGCGCGGCCGUCAGAGUGUUGCCACAGGUUACCAUGGCAAUGCUCCACGCACCACGCAGACCGCGAGAGUUAGACAAGGGAGCUGCUGGGACGGUAAGUAAGAUCUUGCACGGUCCUUGCCACCGGACCACCAGGGAAUGCCAUAGCCCCCCUCCCUGGCCAAGUAAGAAGCAGAGAGGGGGGACUAAAAAUGUAUUUAAAAAAAUAUAUAUUUUAAUAAAAUUAAAAAUGCCCCCCCCCCAUUUUACACAAAUUACAUACCUACAGAAACACACACUCAUACUCUGCAUUAUAUACACACAACACAAACACACUGCAUUCACUACACAAACACACUGCAUACACUACACACACUGGAUUCACUUUACACACACUACAUUCACUAUACACACACUACACAAACACACACACUCUGCAUUCAGUAUAUAUACACACUACACAAACACUCACUGCAUUCACUAUACACACUACACAAACAUCCUGUUAGGAGGUGUCCUACUUAUAUUAAGUAUAAUAUACUUUCUUAUUGCUCUAUGUGCACCCCCCUUGUAUUCUUUUUUCUAUCACUUUGUAUUUGAGUGCCAUUCAGUGAUUUUGGGCACUGGGGGUAGUUGCAGAUUCUCUGGCUCUAUAGCGCCAAUCCACCAUUUCUUGUAUUGUUAUUAUAUACACACUACACAAAUACAUACUGCAUCCACUACACUUACACUACACAAACAUACACAGCUCCCCUGUCUAAACACACUGCAUCCACUACAUAUGGCAUGUAUAUUUUGUGCAUUUAACUUUAAAAAUAGUUUAUUUUUUCAAAAUGGUAAAUGUACAGAAUAUCGGGAAGUUAUCAGCUAUCGGCCUGAAAAUUCACAGAUUAUCAAUAUCAGCUCUAAAAAAAAUCAAUAUUGGUCGAUCCCUACCCCGGAGUAUCUGGACCGAGGGGUGUUUGCCCCGCGUUAAAGACAGCCCUGAUUAUUUGAUUUACCCCUUCCUGUUUCUUACCUGUGGCCAGGGAGGGGAGACAGAACAUUCCCUGGUCAUUCUGUGGUGCUGUAGAGGCUUUCAUCCUUUACCUGGAGCUUUGCAGUAGUAGCAGGGUGUAAGACAAUACUUAGAAUGAACAGUGCAAUUAGCUUGCCCUUCAAUGGGUCCCCACUAGAUCUCAUUCUGGAUGUAGGUCAAACGAUCGUUUUGGCCUUGUUAGGCCUAACAAUCGUCUAUUGUUGCUGUAUCUCUCGUACAGAGAGAUCCAAGCUGCAUUUCGGAUUUGUACUGAGCUUUUUAUUGGGAUCAGUCUGAUAUGCAAAUGACACAAGAUGAGCUAAAACCAGUGUGAGGUCUACCAAAGCGCAGGCUACUUGGAACUGUUGUCUACUCUAAGUACUCUCUUGCACCUUGUAUUUUUAUUUUUUUGCUCUCUAUAAAACAUACAAGAAAUAUACACAAAAAAAAGAAACAAGCAAGAAGGCGCUAAAAUUUAAAAUACAAUGGUAAAAUAUAUGCGUGUAAAAAAGGUAAAGCGGCACCUUACCAGUGAAAUAGCUCAAAAACAACCAAUUAACCGAAUACAAAAUAAAAAAGGUGUGCUAUACCUUUAAAAUCUAAAAGAGUGCAACACAGUGCAAAAGUGUCCGUGCAUUACACAAUAUAGUGCAAAACAGUACAAAAUCAAUCAUUUAAGUAAGUGUAAAAAUUCACAAGUGUAUUAAGUGAUAAAUAUACUAGAGAAACUUACUAAUAGUAUCCUAAAAUAGGAGUGUCACAAUAUUCCUUCCAGGGAUACAUAGGAACGUAAUACAUAAAAGAGAAAAAGGGAAAAAAAUGAAAUAAAACUUGUAACGGAGCUGCAAUAUUAAAUCCCAAUAUCUCCGCUGGUACAGAAAGUAAUCCAAGUAAAGUGCUGAAAAUGAAGGCAAUAUCCCAAAUCCCCCAGUAACCGGACGAAACACAGUUCUGGGAGUCAAUCGACGAUUUUAUUCACAAGCUCCAGUAUUUAUGUGGUUCCCCAUGCAAGGGGUUUCCUUAAUUACUUUACAGGGGUUGUACAGUAGGGGACUACAUGGGGAAACUUAACAUAUAGAACAUUUCUCCCACCAUGCACUGCUGUACGAGAGGGAUACUCCCACUAGAAUAUCCUGUAGUGGAUUAUCCCUCCGUACGGCAGAACCGGCUUUUUACAUAAAAAUCCAUAACUUUCAUUUUAUUCAUGUCACUGUACCGAAUGACCGUUCAGCAGAUAGCUGGGGUCUGAGUGCACACUUAGUGAAAGUACCGCUCAGAUCCCAGCACAAUCAGCCAAACGCCGCACGAAAUAUACUUUAACAUACAUUCAUCAUAAAAGACACAAAUACAUAAUUGAGGAAAAAGUACCGAAAGACCGGCACUCCCGAACGGCCUGGAAGUCCAGUGGUGUUCGUGCCGUCGAGUAGCCGAUUUUAGUUCCAGGCACGCGACACCAAGCACCGCUGGGCAAAAGGGAAAUCCAAGAUGGCCGCCGCCUCGUGGUCGGUAGUCGAACGAUGGCCACCCGGGAAAUCAAUUAGCAGCCGAUUGCUACAAUGUUGCAAUCGGUUAAUGGGAGUCACACAACCCCCUGUGUGUGGGCUCCCAUUCAGUACUUUGUUCAUUUCACGAACAGUGUGGACAGUCACUGUUCGUGAAACUACCAUAUGAAUGCUCUCUAUUACAGUUAUCAGCAAAUACAUAAACUAAUACAAUUGGACCAGCUUUCUAGGACAACCUUUAGACAAAUAACAGCACAAUCUAAAGUGGCUAGGUUUGCCACAAAACUCACAAUGAGAGAGCAGUAAAAGUCUGCUCUAACUUCUCUGUCUUAAGUCCUAAAUACAGGACUGGAUAUUGGCAGGUAAUCAGGACGGCAGCUGAAUAUAAAAGUAUGCUUUAUUUCCACAUAAAUGAAAGUUCACAUGUGAUACCGCUCUUUAUCCCAUGUAGAAGUUCAUACCCCUUAGUAGUACAGUCUUUCAAAACUGCGACUAGCACUAGCGGUCUUGCAAAGUUGUCAGCACUGCAGGGAGUUCUUCGUACAACCACGUGAUGGCGUGAUGGCGUGAUGGCGUUGUACACACAAACAUGAUGACGCAUUUCACCUGGGCGGCUUCCUCAGAUCACGUCACAGUUCAGCUGUCCUGUUCUUUUGAAGCUGCCAUAAUGGACGUGGUGUGUAAUGGUCUCUUCGUCAUUGGCUCUUACUAGUAACUCAAAGUCUGAGUGACUGCAUAUUUUAAUGCAAAUGUACAAAGUCCACAAUUUUUUGGCAUUUCACCUUAACAUUGUUUCUGACAAAAAUCACGAAACAAUGAAGUGUCCCAGACAUUACAUAAAAAAAAAAAAUAUGUAUAUAUAUAUAUAUAUAUAUAUAUAUAUAUAUAUAUAAAGGACAUCAAAAUACAUAAUAUAUAUUUAAAGAAAGACAAAAUACACUUAAAAAACAUGGCAGUGAAAAAUUAAAAAACACUAAGAACCUACUUAGAAGGAGAGAAAAAAAAGGGCAUUAAUAUUGCAAACAAUAUAUAUCUGAUGGUGUAAUAUAUUAAAUGCCUAAAAUGGGCAGUAAUAAAUAUUUGUUUAUAAAAGAUUAUUCAUUUAUAAAUCUUUUUUACAAAAAUGUAUAAAAUAUUUAUAUAAAUCAAAUUCUAUAUUAAGUCCUUUAGGUUCAAGAAUCUCUAAAUUGUGUAACCACUUCAUCUCUUCUUUCCCUAUCUGUUGUAUGUAAUUUCCUCCUUGCCAGGAUUUUUUAACUAUUUGUAUCCCUAAAAAAGUUAAGCUACUAGGGUCUUUAUUGUGGUACUUAUUAAAAUGUGCAGAGACGCUAUGUCGAUCGAAGCCUUUUCGGAUAUUGUUAAUAUGCUCAUAUAUCCUUUUAUGUAAAGGAUGAAUGGUCCUACCAACAUAUUGGAACACACACUGCAUCCACUACACACACACACACUGCAAUCAAACAUUACAUACAAACACACCCCUGCAUUAAAACACUAAAAUGAACUACAAACACCCCUUCAUUCAAACACCAACACUACACACAAAAAGCACACCUGCAUUUAAAGUCCUACACUACAUAUACAAACACCCCUGCAUUCAGACGCAAACAUUACAAACAAGUACACUACUACAUUCCAAUAGCAACAGUACAUACAAAUACACCCAUACAUGCACACAUAUAUUUAAUACAAAAACAUGCUUACAUUCAAACACUGCUCACAAAUAUAACCCUGCAAUGAUGUGCAAAUGGUAGAUCCCCAUCUGGUAUAGCAUUGUUGAAGUUCUUCGACAGAUGGAGAUCUACCUUUUGGCUACACUUUCACUAGAGGGGGGCCCAGAAAACAUACUUGCACCAGGGUCCUCUCUACAUUAGUUCUACCACUGGGAUAAUCAACGUGAGGUGCCUGGAUGAAAGAGCAGGACAACAGCACUUCUGAUACUGAGUCUGUGAGUAAGCAGUUGUAUGUCUCUAAAACUGAUUGCCAUGAUGUGCAAAGUUUCUGCCUCUAAAACUGCCAUGAUAUAUCAAAAGUAUGCCUCUAAAACUGCCAUGUUAUGCCAAUUUUAUGCAUCUAAAGCUGAUUGCCAUGGUGUACCAAUUUUGUGCCUCUAAAACUGAUUGCCAUGGUAUGCCAAUUGUAUGCAUCUAAAGCGGAUUUCCACGGUGUGCCAAUUGUAUGCAUAUAAAGCGGAUACCACGGUGUGCCAAUUGUAUGCAUCUAAAGCGGAUUGCUAUAGUUUGCCAAUUGUUUGCCUCUAAAGCUGUUUGCCAUGGUGUGCCAAUUUUAUGCCUCUAAAAGUAAUUGUCAUGGUGUGCCAAUUGUGUGCAUCUAAAGCGGAUUGCUAUGGUGUGUCAAUUGUAUGCCUCUAAAGCUGUGUAAACUUUGUAUCCAAAAGCAGUGAUCACAGUAACAUAUCUUCAAAGAUACAAACCAAGCAAAGAAAGUGCAACACAGUUUAUUAAUAUCAUGUAAAAAUGAAACUCCAAAUCCUUUAAAAAACUCAUACACAGUAAAAAAAGAUUGUAUUUAAAUCCUACUUUCCAUCUAAGGAUCCAAACAGAGUCCAGAAUAUGUAGCAGAUAAGCAGUGUGCUGAAAGUAUUACCACUCCGUUGGUGCAGUAGAAAUCCAGAAAAUGUCCAAGGAUCUAGCCGAAAUGCUGCAAGUUCAAAUGGAGGGAUGUCAAAGCACUUACUGCCAAAGGUGUCUGCCUGGAAAGAUAAGAUGAAAGGCUUCUAACUGAUCGAUGAGUAACAAUGCUGAAUAUUUCACUGUAUAUGCCUGUUUGAAUCAUGAAACAUGAUUCACAUUUAAACCAUGUAAGGGUUUUUAACCUAAUAAGUAAUAGCAUUGUAUAUAGCUUUUUGUAUCUUUUUAACAUAUCUAGAUAUAUCUACUGUUGAACAUCUUGCUUGAUUGGACAUUUUGCAACAUUACUACCGUUUUAUUACCAGUUUUAUUUGCAUUUUGUAAUUAUUACAUGCUAAUGUGAAUGUAUUAGUUUGUUUUUUUACUCAGCUAGGUUUUAUAACGCUGCUAGGUAUUAUCUAUAAUACGGGGGGCAUAGCUACUAAACACUUAUAUAACUGUUUUCAUGUAUAGGAAGAGAACUUCCUAACACACCGGAGGGCCUCUUGCUGCUUCAACUGCCAACAGAACUCUCCAAAACUCAGAGACAUUUAGACUUUCGUAUCUUAAUAGCAGCUCUCUAUAUAGGCACCCAGACCACUUCAGCUCAAUGAAGUGGUCUGGGUGCCAGGUCCAUCUAGGGUUAACUCUGCAGCUGUAAACAUAGCAGUUUCAGAUAAACUGCCAUGUUUACAUUAGGGUUAAUCCAGCCUCUAGUGGCUGUCUCAUUGACAGCCGCUAGAGGUGCUUCCGCGCUUCUCACUGUGAAAAUCACAGUGAGAAGACGCUGCCAUCCAUAGGAAAGCAUUGAGAAAUGCUUUCCUAUGGACUGAUUGAAUGCGUGCAUUCGGCGGAUGACUUCGGAAGAGGGAGGAGAGUCCCCAGCGCAGAAGGAGCCUGGCACUGGAAAACGGUAAGAGCUUAACCCCUUAACCCCGGCGGGAGGGGGUUAUGAGGGUUGGGGGAACCUAUUAACUAUUGGCAUAGGUGGUUUUCCUGGCACUCUAGUGGUCCUUUUAUAGCAAGAAAUUGGGCAGCAACUACAUCACUAGAGAUACCUGAAGUUUUUAAUUUUAUAUCCGUAAACUGUAAAUAUUAAAGAAUGAUUAGGGCAGUUACCAACUAGAGGGACUUCUGGAAAGAGGCAUGGGACAUUUGGUCAAGUAAAUCAUACUUCUCUAGAAAACUUUACACCCCAUAACCCAUGUUGGGCUUGCAGUUUGUCUGUGCUUGUCCAAAAAAAAUAAACACAUGUACUAGUAGUUUCAACUAUUUUUUAUUUAAUUUGCUUGAAUUUUUUGUACAUCUCUUGAUUGCUACAGUAUUAUGAGGUGCUGUCCAACUCCCCUCACUCUCUUGCCUAAACAACCUAAUAUUUUCCAUAUUUUCUAUGUUUACCCCUUUUCUUUUCCGAGUUCUCCCCCACUAAGGAGCAUUAUGUUAUUCAACGAAAGCUAAAUUCUCAUGGUGUCAGAUGAAACCUUACGGAAUAUACAUACUUAUAUCGUUACUCUGUACACGAGACUAUGUUGUAUAACACCACAGAUUUGUAUUUAUAUGUUUUGAAUUGUGGAAUAUAAUAUGCUAUGCUACAAAGUAUGUUGCAAUAUUUGAUGCUCUUUGGGGAAAAAAAACAAAUAAAAAGCAAUUUGAUUAAAAGAAAAUUACGUUUUGAGGUGACAGUUGUUCUUUAAGAAAGUUGAUGUGAGUUAUUGGUCUAGAAAGGUUGAUGAACCUCAGAAGAUUAAGACUUGACAGUACUUGGGCAGUAAUAGAUCUGAAGGUAAGUGGGAAAAAAAAGCCAAAUGGAAACAUGUCUGCAAGGGUUUGUUACUACUGUAUAACUUUAUGUUACUAGGCAGGAGGUAAAUAAUAACAUGCCUAUGCCAUAGCUGGAUUUGCAAGUGUUUACAGUAAAACUUAUGAAGUUUAAUUUCAUUCUUUCUUCUCUUUGUAGAGCAAGCAUCCAAAUGAAGUUAGUUCAACCAAAGAAGAUUUAAAGCCAUUUCUGUGUAUUAUAUUACCAACAGCAGCCCUGCUUGUUAUAGGUUUCUUUGUGUUGUUCCUUUAUCGGAGAUGUAGACGUAAGAUCCCACAGGGACAAAUCUUUGCCAUAAGUCUCCAGGAGAAUAUACAAGACAGGGAAAUUGACUUCUUUUCUACUCUGCCUUGGAGCAUGGAGCCUUUUCAAUAUUGUACACUGGUACCUGAUGCUUCUUUCUUAACAAUAUGCUUACCUCCACCUUAUGAAGAGGCAAUUUUAAAGACAUCAAGUGACUCUUGCAUUAGUAUAUGUCCUGAUCCAUUGCCUCCCUAUGAAGAAAGGCCGCGCAGAUCAAGCAAAUAAUGUCAAUUCACAGUUUAUAGCCUUAGAGCUGGGCUUCAGCUGGACCUGCAAGUCCAAAGACAAAUCUUUGUUUUGCAGCUUAAAAUCUUUAAGGGCUUUUUAUACAUUAUGUUUUCAAAAAAAGGAAAAAAGACAUUAAAAGAAUAAUACACGCAUGGUCCAUACAUGCGCAAGGUGGCUGGUACCUUUUAUCUGUUGGCAAGAGUGUUUUUUCCAG